rnacentral:lncRNA from 1 species
UUUUUUUUUUUGGUAAAGAUGAGACAAACGGAUGUAUGGAUAAAACUGACCCAAAACGAGGAGAAAACAAAAAUGUAUGUAUUUUGCUUCUUUCACUUAAGAUGAAUGAUAAUUAUUUCCAGACACAUGGUUGUCAUAUCAUUUAUUACAUAACACACGCCAUCUGAGGGAAAAAAAUUGUGCUGAAUGAUGUCCAAGAGGGAAAAAAGGAAUCUCUUCCGGUUAAUCAAGGUACACUGCUCCCUAUUUGAACAGGGAUGAAUGUUAUUUUCUCAGGCACCAUGGGCCGUACAAAAUCAUGUCUCCAAUGGGGUGAGGAACUAAUGAUGAUAUGAAAUUUGAUUUGCUUUAUUUACGAAUGGGCCAGGAUCAUGAAUUCUGACAUCACAGGCAACCACUGAAACUCAGAUGUGGCAGCCUGAACGCUGCAAGAAACAUAGCUAGCAUGGGGUUAUCAAUCAGUAGGGCCAAUCAUUUUCUCUGGGACGACAAGCUCAUGGAAUUCCUCUUCCGUUAAUACUCCAAGGUCUAAUGCAGCUUUCUGAAAAAAGGGAUAAAAAGAUCAGUUUAAAAAGCGUAUUAUACCAUGGAAAAAGUUUAAAAGCAUGCAAAAUCAACAACAAAUUACAAUUUUCAUGGUGAUAUGACAACAUUAAUAAGUGGCCUAAGAGGAUGAGAGAGACUGGAGAAUGAACCUAUAUCUCAAUUAGUGUCCUGAUCCAAAUAACAAGUUUCUGACAUUUAAUGCCUAAAGAAUUGAAUGGCAGAGGCAACCCAACCAAGAUACGAACUUAUGCUGUGUAUACUGGACACAUCACCCUAAAGCUUAGCCUAAAAGAACAAAGGUACACUACAGAAAUAAAUAAAGCAAAGGUCACCUUUAAUGUGGUUCCUUCUUUGUGAGCUUUCUUUGCUACAGCUGCAGCAUUGUCAUAGCCAAUUUUCUGCAUUCGUUCAAUAAUUCAGCAUGAUUCACAAGUUUCUACACACAAAAAAACAGACUAAUGCAAAGUUGCAUUUUACUUACAGGGUUCAAAGAUGUCACCAACAUCAGAGACUGAACAAAAAUACCAAGAAAUUAGUAAUACAUCUUACAUAGAAAAUAUAUGCAAGUGUCCCAGUAAUCCUGAUAGAUCGUUACCUCAUGCAAAAGCUGUGAAAUUCUCUUAUGGUUUGCUUGAAUUCCCCUUACACAGUUUUUCUCGAAGGACACAGAAGCAUCCCCCAACAAUCUCAAUGACUGUUGAAAAAAGGAGCAGUCAAUAGGUUAAAUCAUAACAUGACUGCAGUAAAUGCAUGAGGCUAAAGUUAAAAAAUUACAGUAACAAUAUAAGGCUAUUCAAAUAUUAGUUCCUAUGUUAGUUAAGCAUAUUUAAGUAUGGUAAUAGAUAGCAUACUCGAAGUAAUCCGGCUGCAAUCAUUGGCUUGAAAACAUUCAGUUCAAAAUGCCCAUUCGCACCACCAACUGUAACACCAACAUGAUUACCCAUAACCUGCAAUACCACAAAUCCAAAUUGCUGUAAGUUUAGAUGCAAGUCAAAUGCAUACACUAAAAAAAAGAAGAAUAUUAAGACAACAUGGCUGAUGGAUCAGUAGCAGUUCCAUUCAGUACCAAAAAUCAUUGCUUAUUUGCGGAAGGUAAAGGUUAAGAACUCCUCACAAAACCAUAUUCCAUUUGUCUGGUAUACUAUAUUAGUAGCGUUAAUUUGUACUAACACAACUGUUUGUCAUUGGCGGAUAUCCAGAUACUCAGGUUUAUUAUCUAAUAUUGAGUUUUGAAGCAGGGUAAAAGGCAUUUCGUAGACAAAUAUGACUCAGAUUUACUAGUGUUCCUACAGAAAAUGAGAACCACUUAUCUCUAGCAAGGUUUCUGUCUAAGCAACCUAGGAGAGUACAAAACUUGGAAGAUAACACCAUAGAACCAUUUAAUAUCUUAAAUAUAUAUGAUUAGAGCAAUUGCUUUUUAGAUAAGCAAUAGCUCUCCAUCAAGAGGACAAAGCAAACAAUAAAAUCCUUUUUUAUAAAAUUACAAUAGGGAGGUUAGAUGAUAUAAAAUGAGAAAAUAAAGCAUGAUUUGGGUACCUGAGCGCAAACCAUGGUCAGAGCCUCACACUGUGUUGGAUUAACUUUUCCCUGAAAAAUAGUUGAACCUGGAGUUUUACCAUGGUAUUUUAAUUAAAAAUAUGGUAAAACAACCAUACGUAAUACAUCAACAGUCUGCUUACAGGCAUAAUGCUGCUCCCAGGCUCAUUCUCUGGCAGGAUUAGUUCACCAAGUCCACAGCGAGGGCCACUGUGGUUGUGUAGGAAAUAUUAAGUGCAUGUCCCAGAAUACUAGAAAAAUAUUUGUUAUAAGAAAAAGAGGAUUGGAAAAAUGACCUUCCCAGCAAGCGUAUGUCGUUUGCUAUCUUCAUAAGGGAUGCAGAUAUUGUGUUUACGGCACCACUGCUCUCAACAAAAGCAUCAUGUGCUGCCUACUUGAGCCAAAAAAAAGAAAAGAUGAGAACACGUAGUGAUGAAAUAAUACAGACCAAACAAUACAAAUCUAAUUAAAAAAAAGUUCGCAAGACGGUAAAACCGAAAUCCAGGUUCUAAGUCCAGUAUCCAAGCAAGAAAAGGAAGGAUUUUGCUAAUACAAAGAACAGAGCCCACCAGCUAGCAUCAAAUAAAACAUUAGAAAGUGAUGUGCAUAUUUCAAACACUCAACUUGAAAACAGAAUAUGUAUUAUAUGGUUGGUUUUGGUUUGUAACUAGUUGUUAUUUUUGUUUUCUGAGGCAACAUCAUUUACCAAAUGCCCCUAUUGAUUACUAUGCAUCAAUACUUUUCUUGCCCUACGUGCAAGCAAGGCUUAUACGUUCAACUACUAACCAAAGCUUCAAACUUGUUCUCUGCUGUCACAAAGGGUAGAUUUGUUUCCUCAGCCACUGCAGCGGCAAUUUUGACAUCAAAUCUGAAAAAUACAAAUUUAAGUAUUUAAGAAACAGCAUGAAGAAUAAAGAUUAGUAAUGCAAGGAAAACAUUCUGUUUAAAGAUAUCUGAAAUCAAGUCAUAUAGUAAUGAUUAACCAUUUCAAAUUCCAGACAGUACUCAAAUCUUCAUAUAUCAGUACUUUUAAUCCAGAAACAACAUAUGUAAAUGGAGGUAAACUAGAAAAGAAACCUAAUUGAAAUAACUUGCUAACAAAUUAAUCUGGAUUAUGCCAUAACACACUGGAUGAUAGGGUUACAUGGAUUCAUUCCCCAAAACAAUUUGGGGAUAUACUAAUAAGAACAAUAAAUGAAAUUGAGAAUCUAAAAGAGAACAAAAUAAAUUUAGUUCAUAAUAGGUAUUGAUGUAACCAAACCAUCUCAAAAACGAAUUUGAGAUUACCCUUUCUUAGUGUUCAAGCCAGUGCCAACUGCAGUUCCACCUUGAGCAAGCUGCAAAUCAAGGCAAAUGAUUGGUAUGUAUUCAUUUGAGGAGAACUAAAAUUAGUAUAAUACCUGAUACAUCCGAGGUAAUGUACAAUUAAUUCGGUCAAUUCCAUAUUUGACCUGCAAAUAGAGUUGAAAACAGUUCAUAAGUCUAUCCAAUAAUCUCAAGUGCAUGGUAAUAAUGAGAGAAUAAAAGAUAUGCUGCAACAAAUCCUACCUGCGUAGUGUAACCACUGAACUCCUGGCCAAGAGUUAACGGGGUGGCAUCUUGGGUAUGUGUACGUCCGAUUUUGAUAAUGUCAUUAAACUCAACAGACUGCACAGUGAGGUUAGCAAAUUUCUGAGAACAGUGUAUGUGCUAUAUAAUAUAUGAAGAAAUAUGCUGUGUCCUCUAACUACUCGUUCAUUUUACUGGUUACAAUAACUGCAUUGUUUAAUCUUAUCAGUCAAUUAAAUGCUUAUGCAUCGUUUGUUCUAUUAUCAAGAGAAAUAAAGUAAUAUAAGUGCCGAUCUUGCAAGGUAAAAUGCUUAUACGCAACAAACAGAUGAAAAUAACACUAAGGUAAAAGGUAUAUGUACAUUAUAAAAAGAAAAUUGGUCUCAAGUGAUCACAUGGGUAUGGGAUACCUCAUUAGCAACUAAAUUAUUGAUAUCAACUUUAGCCAAGGAAAGUACCGUUACUAACUUGCUGCUCUGAUGAGACUAUAAAGGACUGCUACAGUGUGUGUACAUGAGUUAGCGGACAUUCAAAUACUUGUGCGCAACUAAUGCCAAAAUAUUCAGGGUACAACAAAAGGAUCCUUGACAACUUUCCAAAUUUAUAAUGUUUUUAUCUUGAAUCGAACCUGUAAUGAACAGGCACAAAUGCACAGUAGAAUAGCUGAUAAGAUCCCUGGAAACUUUGUAGACAGUUCAGCAGUUGUGAUUUAAGAAGCAGACUACCACAGUCCACAUAUUGAAGCAAAACCAAUAGGUCAAAAGGGUCAUAAUAUAAUUACAUAAAAGACACUUGACAGCAUAAUAGAAGUUCCUAUGGAAGGAAACAAGACAAUAAUACCUUUGAGUAAAGUGAAUCAUGCAACUGUUGCAAACUUGGGAUAAAUUUUGAAUUGAUCUCGACAGCUGCUGCUAUAUGCAUAACCUGGAAAUGUCAACAAUAUGAACAAUAAACAUCUGCAGCAGCAGAGCGUAUUGAAAUAAAGAUAGAUAACAGUUAAAGCUUACAGUGGGAAAUGUAUCAUUGGAGGAUUGUGACCUAUUCACGUGGUCAUUAGGGUGCACAAACUUCUCACCACGCUUGUGUCCAAGAAUCUCAGCUGCCCUAUUUGCAAUUACCUAAAUUGGGGAAACAGAUCAUAAGCAAUUAUGACACAGAAGCCAAAACGUAAACCAAGUGCACAACAAUAUAUAUCUUAGAAUUAGCUUAACAGACUAACUUGCAUACAAAUAAUGAGCCAAGAAUAUAGCGUAUGGGAUAGUUUUAGUUACUGCAGUGUCUGGGUAGUAUAACUUUAGCUUUUCACACCUUAGCUGGGAUUAUUAUUUGAAACAACAGUUAUGUACAACUCUAACAUUGACAUGUUCAAUGCAAUAUGUGGCAUAAAGGUAUUGUAUGUGUAGGGCAUCAACCUCAUUGGCAUUCAUGUUGCUUUGUGUGCCACUACCAGUUUGCCAGAUAACAAGUGGGAAGUGAUCAUCCAGUUUUCCCUCUGCGACCUCCUCAGCUGCCUGCAUUAUUGCCUUGCCUAUUGUUGGAUCAAGGCCAUACUCCAUAUUCACCUUCAAAAGUCAAAGGAAAUGUUAUCCAUACAUGCAUGAUAUGUGAAAAGGUGGAAGCAUAUAGAAAAGUUCAAGCUGGCACUAAGUGUGGUUCCUAAUCGCCAUCAAGCUGCUUCACGGAGUUAGUAAGCAAACUGGAAACUGGAAGGAGAAAGUAGUCGUUUGUGCCAUUUACUAAGUGAAACGAAGUACAAGCUGUAAUGAAACUAGCAUAUCCCAUUUGUAGCUAGUAGCUACAUAUAUUUGGUGGAUCAUACAAGCACGAAAAUCCAAAACUGUCAUGUUACACUCCAAAAUACAAUCGCAUUGUCUAUUAGGAGAAAAGCAAGUUCGGGCACAUCAGCCGUGCUUAUUACAACCGUUCCUUCCAUGAUAUACAGAUAUCGCUUUUCAAGCUUGCAGUGCCCUACAAGUACAAGCAACUAAACGCUAUCUACCCUUUACACGCAGAAAUUAAAAAAAUAGUUUCGCUUUAUACCUUAGCGGCGCACUUUUUGAGCACACCAAAGGCGCGGAUGAUGGGCACGGGCAUCCGCUCGCGCUCGCCGCCAAUGUCGAAGUUCUGCAGCGACCUCUGCGUCUGCGCGCCCCACAGCCUGCCCCGAACAGAACACAACAGCCGAAACCGUCAGAUCAACGCACUACCGCAGCAUCCAGGCUGCCGCGACACCGCGACACGAGCAGAUCAAAACAACGCGCGACGAACUAGAUCAGCCGAACGGAGCCGCUCGGUAUCUACGGAAGGAGGGGGAGGGGGGAGCCACGCACUUGUCGUUGGGGACCUGGAUGGGGCCGAAGGUGUCGCGCUCCUCGCGGAAGCCGGUGGAGAUCGGGCGGGUCAGCGCCGGGCGGAGGAGCAGCGCGGCCGCGGCUGCCGACGGGGAGCCGGGCACGCCAGCGAGGCGGCGCAGAGCCAUCGCCAUCACGAGUGAUUCUCUGCUAGCUGGUCUGCUGCGCGGCGUGUGGAGGGAGCGGCGGCUGAUGAAGGGGGGAGGGGGAGAGAGGGAGGACGGAGGGGGCGGCCGGGCCGGUGGACGGGGCACACGGGGUAAGAGAGAGAGAGAGAGGGGAGUGGGUUUAAUGGCCUGAUCUCGCGCGUGGGUUCUGCAUCGGGUGGUGGAAGUUAGUUGAGGGGCUGCCAUGCUGGAAAAGUUGGAUCUGAUUGGCCUUUGCUCGCGGAACGCUCUUUUGUUCUGUUCAGGAUGCGAGAUGGUCUGCGAAGCUAUCGGCAUACGUUGACAGUGAGCCAGUGACACAGCCCAAUUCGGUCUCGGGGCCAUAAGAAAGUGGUGAGACCUAAUAAAUAAUAUCAAAUGAUCAACAUUAGAUUCAUUAUGAAAUAAUUUUUGUAGUUUACUUCUUUGAUACGGUAGGUGUAAAUAUUGUUCUAAAUUUGAUCAAACUUGAAAUGGUUUGAUUACAUUAGAGGAAAUAUAUUUGUUUAUAGAUAUUUGCUGUCAAAGUGACACGUUGAAUAUGGUGUCGACAUCCAAUGGACUUCUAUUUGUGACAUAGAAAGAUACUGUACUCCACACUAGUUUUUCACAAUGCGCAAUUACAUGCCGAGCAAGGGUAUUUGGAACUCGAGUGACAGUACGGAAAAUUGUGACCACACGGAAAUAGAACUCAAAACUAGUCCUUAGUUUCAAGGGAUGACUGAUAGGAAGUUCGAACUGGGCCACCCAAUAGUCCUGGCACGUUACACGGCAAACGUAUCUAAAAUGGUUGUAACAAAGACAGCCUCGUCAUCUUGCAUUGGUUCAUGAAUCUACGUUUCAUGAUUCAAUUUUUUUUCUUUCUCCAGGAAUUACAUACUGUAGAUUUCAUCAUGGGGAUAGUCAGAUAGCUUGCAAUUUCAGUUACUUCAGGUAAACUCAGAUACAGCUGAUAAAACGUUUGCAAGGAUUCCUUCCAUAGGUACACCAAGACCAUCUUUGCAACGUCUGGGCCAGCUAGCGCUCAGAGCUUCGACAGCGCGACGUCCAUCACCUCAACGAAGAAGUCUGCAUUACUCGCCGCAGAGAUUGAAAGCGAUCAGCCCAAGCGUUAGAGCUGAUUAAACUAAUGUUAAGGAUUGUAACCGAGUAGAUUAGCGUACCAGCAUCUUCCUUGCUGAAGCACAGAGGGGGUGUGAUCCUGAAGACGUUCCCGUAGAACCCGCCUUUCCCCACCAAGACGCCCAUAUCUGAACAGAGGAAGUGACAACGUUUCAUGUUAAAAUUGUUCUAAGUUUCGCGGUAACAGUUUCGAUCUACUGCUCAAGAAAAGGUACCUUUCAUGUGUUCCAUGGCGUGGCAGAUCUCCUCUUUCGCUGGCGUCUUGAGCUGCCGGUCGGUCACGAGCUCAACGCCGAGAAUGAAACCCGUCCCCCUCACGUCGCCGAUGACUGCAAGAACAGAAGGGGACCGAUUGAGCGGGAUCGUUGUCACAAAGAUAGAAGCUCUCGGAUUCUCCACGGAACAAGCUCGAUCGGUCGGACGAGAUGCCGAGCGCUCACUUUCGUGCUUCUCCUGGAGGCCACGGAGGCGGUCCUUGAGGUAGGAGCCGACGACGAAGGCGUUCUCCUGGAGCCUCUCCUUCUCGAGCACCUUGAGCACGGCGAGCCCGCCCGCGGUGCACAGGGGGUUGCCGCCGAACGUGUUGAAGUAGCAGCGCCGGGUCAGCACCUGCGCGAUCUCCGGCGUCGUCACCACGGCGCCCAGGGGGAUGCCGUUGCCGAUGCCCUGGGGAACAUUGGGCAGGCACGUCGUCGCCAGGUUCAGAGCGAGCGCCGCUGGCACGGAAACAAGCAGGAAGAAAAUUAACUAAAGAUGACGCGCCAGGGCCAUGUAAUGUACCUUCGCCAUGGUCACAAUGUCGGGGACGACGCCGUGGGUCUCGAACCCCCAGAAGUGGCUGCCGACGCGUGCGAACCCCGCCUGGACCUCGUCGGCGAUGCAAAGCCCGCCGGCAUUCCGGACCUUCUCGUACGCCAGCGGCAGGUACCCCGGCGACACCUCCACGAUCCCACCGACACCCUGUGCUCACAAGCAAAUGACUUUAUCAAUUAGCUUUGAUUUGCUCCUCAUACGCCAGCGGCCGCGUCAGUGUAGCGCACCUGGAUGGCUUCGGAUAUGAAGCCGGCGACCUGGCCGGUGGUGCCGAACUCGAUGAUCUCCUGCACGUCGCGCGCGUACUUCUCGGCGUCGGAGCCGAAGGCGCCUCUGUAGGGGUCCGGGUUCACGGCGUGGUGCACGCCGCUCUUGAGCACCGCAGGUCAUCAAAAAAAAAAUAGUCAGAGAACGGCUUCCAUUUCAGCCAAAUUCAGCAGUACAGAACCACAGGUACAUGCGUACCUGGACGACGUUGAACUUCCAGUUCUUCUGCGCGGUGGCGCCCAUGGUGCCGGCCGCGUUCCCGUGGUAGGAGUUGCGGAGGGAUAUGAUGUCGUGGGAGCCGGUGUACAGCCGCGCCAUCAGGAUGGCGAGCUCGUUCGCCUCCGUGCCGGAGUUGGUGAAGAACACGACCUGUAUCAUCAACAAAUGAGCGGCGUUGCUGUUGCUAAAUGGCUGAAGCAGAGCCGGCGCAGGACGCCAGCGGCCAGUCGCGUGCGUACCUUGAGGUCGCCGGGCAGCUUGGAUGCCAGCGCCUCGGCGAAGUCGGCGAUGGCGUGGUUGAGGUAGAGCACGGUGGAGUGCUGCAGGCGCCUGGCCUGCGCGGUGAUCGCGUCCACGACGUCGGGGUGGCAGUGCCCGCAGCACACGGUGGCGAUCCCGGCGAACGCGUCCAGGUAGCGCCGGCCGUGCUCGUCGUACAGGUACUGCCUCUUCCCCUCCACGAUGUUCAGCUGCAACGUUGCACAACACAGCAAACAUUUUGUCAAGGUUGGAUAUACCACACUCAGCCAUUUUUCCCCUUGAUUUCUUUUCCGUCAGAUCAGAUCCUGAUUGAACUAAUAUUACUUCUCCAAACACGCGAGCCUUUGUCCUCCUGACUAUCUAUCUAAAUUCUAAAUCCCCAACAUCGUAGCUCUAACAACCGGAAAAGCCCAACCUCACCAGAGAUCCAGUGGAGAGUAGAGAAUGUCGGUAGAGUUUGAAACUUCUACUAAGAUUUAAGAAACGCCAGAGUUUGAAAUUUGAACGUAGAGUGAAGAGGAAAAAGGGAGAGAAGAGUGUUAGGGAAGCAGAAACACUCAAAAUUUCAUAAAAAUUCUACUGUUUUCUAUGGCUGCAGAAAUGAAAGAAUCGGCCGGCAUGCAGGCCGCAGAUGGAUCUUCGUGGGAUCGAUCGACGCACAGGCUUGGAGUAGAAGUGGAACAGCGACGGGCUGAGGUACUCGGCGCGCUUGCGGGCUAUCUCGGCGGCGCUCGGCCCGUCGUAGGGCAGCGGCACGUGGUCGAACGCCGGCAUUCUCGGCGCGGCUGCCGCCGUCUCGGCCGCCGCGGCGAGCCGGGAGAACCUCCUCGCCAAAUUCCUCGCCCCCUGCCGCAUCAUCGCCACGCGCCUGCGUCUAUCUGCAGAAUAAUCCAACGAAAUUAUAGGUUGAUUCCUCCACUCGGCCCUCCUCCUCCUCAAAUCACGUCAACUAAUCGCGAUUAGUUUUUAACUUCGGGUGCAGGACGAGAGGAGGGGGGAGGUGUGGCCGUGUGGGAUGGGAUGGAAGCAAUUAGGAGGAGGAGGACGGGAGGGGUUUAUAUGCCCGCGCAACAAACUGCAGAGCAACGCUGCGAGAGAAAGAUUUGGCGUGCCAAUACCUGACCAAUGACCAGCUUACACGUCGACGCGUUUGCACCCGGUCUCGAAUCCCAGGCGCGAAAUCCGUUACGGAUUUGCGAAAUCAUGAGCAGCAUGCGACAGUGAUUCCCAGAAUCAGAAUGCAGGUGGGGCUAUAAUUAGUAGGCAAUUACGGGCUAUAAUUAGUAGCCAAGAAUCUGGAAUAUUUCCUUUCCGGGUGGUAACGGCGCGGUUGCCGUCGUGCUCGAGCAGAAAGAACAGGUGACGGUGCUCCAAUUUUAACCUGCGUGUCUUGUGGCACCCCCAACCGAUGGUUCACUGUACCUCGAUGGCUUUUGUUGCAUUGGUCGAUGGCGAAUUCAGGCUGAUUAAUUGGGAAUAUACCUUCCGUUUUAAGUAAUUUUUUAAAACAAGUUUUAGAAUUACAUAUUUUAGCUGGGUUGGCGUAUAUCUCGGGCUACUGCAGCCGUCGUCCUAGGUGAACAUAGGGCAGGUGAGUUUUUUUUUUUAGAGUAUCAUCAAUCCAUCAAGCUGCGGCAAUUUGGUUGGAGUUGGAUUUUUUUUCCUCUUUCAGCUGGCAAUGGUGCUUUGUGACUGUAAAUUGCGGAUAAGUGUCAUGAGCUAAGAAUAUGCUGUUUAUAACUAUUUAAAUCGGGCUUUUGCAAAAUAACUAUUGAUUUUAACUUUAUUUUCCUUUGCAUGAAUAAUAAGACACUGUUGCCAUCCUGAUAUCAUGUGACUUCCACAAACAAAACUGAGAGCCCGUUUGGAUCAGCUAAAAUUGGAUGUUAAACUUUAGCAUCUAUUAGUACUUACACUCCGUGCUAAAGUUCGAGUCUUGGUUAAAGUUUAGCCCACCCUAUUAGCACUCCUAUUUGGAGUAGCUAGUGCUAAAGUUUAGCACUUUUGGAUACUAGCACUUGGAUCCAAACGCCCCUUGAGUUGUAUAUGUCACAUGCAAAAAAAACUCUCUCUUUAAAAAUACAAUUAGAUUUAUAUUAGAAUUUUAAAUUUUCAUAUCCACGUUACAUUUAUGUUGUUGAAAAAUCAACAGAUCCCAAAUCCAAAUAUAACCGUAGGUCCUUUGCUUGACCUCGAGUACCAACGACUAUGGCAGGGAACAUUAACUCUUGGUUAGCCACAAGAACUUUCAUCUGGUUCAUCUAUAUCCUUCCUAUGUAAAAGAUGUGUACAUCCAUUCAUUCACAUUCAAGCAGUGCAAACCGAAGCCAUAUCUUUGUUUUUCAAUGCACUAUUUUUAGAUGACCUUGAAUUAUUGGUCUAAUCACAUAUGACACAUAUUCCUCUCAAAAAUGCAACUAAAUCAGGUUGUUUUACUUAAAUAUGCUUUGUCGGCCUGCAGUGUAUGGUGUAUGUGGAUAUAUGUGCUGAUGAUCACAAUAAUCUCCGCUAUAUGUCAAGUAUAGUAGCUAAAAGGUAUACAUGCAAUGGUGCAAAUCAACAAACACUAUAGUGCUUCCAUUAAAGAUCCAUUAAACAAAUCAAUGGAUUGCUAUUAGACAAACACGGUCUGACAACGAUUAGGGACCGCACUUAAUGACCACAGUCAAGCAAAUGCGGUUUGGUUGUGAUGAGACGCAACACAUUUCAAAAGGUCAUCACAUCCCAUUUUUGCUUAUGUGAUGAUGCAAUAGUGGUUCUGUUUUUAAUAAUAUGCAAUAGUGAUGGGAGCUUCUGGAUCAAUAUGAGCAGAUGAUUUGUUCCUCCACUAUGCACUUGAUUUUGUAUUUUAAAAACGCAUACAAACACACUGAUUCUUAAAAAAAUUGUGCAAAAUACACUUGUCCCCUUGAUUGUUAGCUUCUCUUAUAAAGCUUUGGAUUCUAAUCACAAUUCUUCCUUUUUUUAAAAAAAAAUUCACCUUGGUCUCUCUUCAGAAAACAAAUGUUGCAAGCAACAAGUUGUUAGCAUUAUUGGUUCAGGGGGUGUGGUGCAUUAUUGGCUCUGGUGUCAGGACUCAAGAGUAGUGUGUGCCUGCUUCCUACUUGGAUCCACAACAUGGAGUCCUUUAUCCGAUGACAGAGUAGCUGGUAAGCAUUCCUUGUAUAAUCUUUCCUCGGAGAUAAAGAUGCGAUCAAGAAAACAACCACGAUGCUUGCUCAGACAUCACUAGUAGCCUUUCCCUUACAUGUCAGUUUGCAUCACCAUACGAUAGUAUUACUCCCUCUAGUCACAAAUACACGCACAUCACUUCCCUUCCUACCACGCUCAGACCCCUGCAGGCAUAGAACCAAAGUACAUUGAAUGUGGACGCAAUACACAUUAUGCACCCCGUUCAUCCGCAUAAGGCAAAAGGCAUGCUCAUAAUAAGCUAGACUUGUCACCUACUAAAGCCAGGAUCACGUACGUCAUCGGCACCGGCAUAUCCAUCCAUGUAGGCGCGGCGAGGUAGCAGAACCGGGCAGCACCCGUGUCUACCGUCUACUAGUCGCCGUCUUCCAUUUCCCUUUCCUUAGACGCUAGCUCUCCACUACUACCACUACUUGAUGAGCUAAGAUAAGUUACAAAGAGAAGGCCACAGCAAUUGGGUAUUCUUGUUGGCUUGUGCUGUCCACGGCGCCGCUGCGUAGAUGAUUAGCCGAUCUGAACGCCGCGAUCAGCCGGCGAUAGUUGAUGGCGACAAGGAGCAAGUUUAAUCAGCACGCUGUCAGGUGUGUGGUGAAUGGGUGAUUAAUCUUUUUUUUCUCCCCAUUCCUCGUAGUAGGCCAUGAUGAUAAGGACGCACUAGCGCAAAGUUGGGGUGUGCGAUUAACCUCUGUCUCCUCCAAGAAAAUUAUAGAACUACAUGUGUGCUUGUCGACUGCAUAGGAUGGAGCCAGGCGUGGCCAUUUAUUUAGCAUGUAUGUGCGUGAUGAUGCGGAGGUGUUUACUUGGGGUCGUCGACACUGAUUGGUAGUUCUUGUUGGCAAAUGUCGAUCGAGCAGCAGGGGGAGAGAUCAGUACUGACAAGCUAAGGAGGUUUGGUGCACUCGUACGGUGCUCCUCGCUUUCUUUUGUGGUCAGUUGUUGGUGCGAAGGAGAUGGGGUCCUAAUGUUAGGCCAGGAUGGGAUGGGAUCACUCAUUCUCAACAAAUGGAAGCGCCGCGUAGGGGCUCCUGAUGAGGAUCUCCACAUACUAACGCAAGCGCCAACUAUGUAUGGUUAAAGUGGCAUUGCGAGAGCUGGAAUAUUUCCGAUCAACUUUUGGAGGCAGACACAGCGACAGCCCCAUGGUGGUACGGAUUGAGAUUUGCUAGUAAAACAUAGUGGAUUUAUACUUUUAAUGUUGACUCUAAAACGUCAAGCGCAUCUGGUGUAGUGGUAUCAUAGUACCCUCCCACGGUACUGACCGGGGUUCGAUUCCCCGGAUGCGCAAAGAUUUUCUCUUUUGCAACUCACUACGCAGUUUUGAACGGGCAUCCCAGCAAUGGAGAGAGAAAGAAAGUAACGGAGAGCGCAGUUUUGAACGGGCAUCCCAGCAACGGAGAGAGGAAGAAAAUAGAUCCCAUACAAGAUCUGGUGUCAAUACUUAAACCGAUACGCUAGAAUAAAUAUGAUAGGGGGAGAAAAGAGAGUGAGUUUAAUAGAAAUUCAUAUGAUAGAGUAUAGUUUUUAAAGUUAAUAUCUUGAUGAUAUAGCAAUAUAAACACUAUAUAUAGACACUGUAAGUUGGACUUUGAUGUUAGGUGCAGUGUCCCAUUUCUUCUGGCCACUUUCCACUCGGCUAAAGUGAAAGGCCGAGCCAGGUUUCCUCUCCUAUGUUGUACUCCUGCACCAGCCUGAAAAGGAAAUGGAGGGAAUACCUAGGAAUUAUGAAUUCGUCUUGUGGUGAUGGGUGAUCUGCGUCAAAAACUUCUUCCUAAGAUUUGGACGCGAUGCAUCUCUGGUUAUGUUUUUUUUUUAACUUUUGAGUUGUUGCAUCAGCGUCAACGGACGGCGCGGAGGGUGAAAAGAAAAGAAAGAUGAGCAUGUGGGUGCCCGCUAGAAUGCGCAUGGGCUGAGGCGAGGUUACAUAAGGGGGCCGAGAUACCCUUGGGCCUUCUGUCAUACUGGCCUGGGCUUCUCUCUUCUCGUGCUUGGGGAGACGGUAGGCCGUAGCAUGGCCGUUAUCCUGCACCAUCAUGCAGAGAGUCUAGUGCCAAUGUGGUGGUAGCAUCCUAAUAGAUUUUCUUCCUAAAAAACUGUACACGCGUAUAUGCUCAUAUGUAUGCAUGUAUACCGAUUACCAAACCAUACCAACUCACGUACGAACACCCUACCACUAUAUGCAUGUAUGUAUCCAUUCCCACGUACGUACUCAUACGCCGUAUGCGUAGAGACCAGCACAGCAGGUAGCUUAUUAUUAGCUACUAUGUAGCUAGCAGGCAGCGGACCGAGGCAGUCUAUGUCAUCAAGCCCUGCGGGAAGCGUCAACGCAGGCUACCAGCUCUAGCUAGAUCAUAUGCGCGCGCGCGACGCACGGCAGCAGGCUCCCGUCCAAACAACCCCUGCCGCUUGUCCCGGAGCGAGCUGCACGCCGCUGCUGCCAUGCACAUAUCGCGUCACUGACCUCAUCAGCCAGCCAGCAGCCAUGCGUGUCCACGAGAUGUUUCCCGGCCCGCCCCUGCGUGGCUGCGUGAUCCAGCAGCGCUCCAAGCAUCCAGGCACGGCACGCGGAGAGCCCCGACGGCGAGCCGAUAGACGGAUAGAUGGACGCCGACGUGUCUGGCCGCAUGUCUCCAGCUUGAUGGCUAGCCAUGGCCCUGAUCUGAGCUUACGCGCUUGAGCUUGACGUACACCGUCAGCGGCAGCAGCAUGCAUGCAUGCAUGCGUCUACGUUCUGCCAAUGGCAUGUGAGUGUACUUCCCGAAGAGCAAGCGCAAGCGCGCGAGACCUCUCUUGGGCAUGCAGGGGCGGCUCGACCUGAACUCGACCUCGACCUCGACCGAUCGCCGGCGUCACGUGAGGUUUGGGAGCUAGUUUGCCGCCCCGGGGAAUCCUAGACCGCAACGUACAACGCCCCGCGUGCACGUGACCGGCCGGCCUCGAUCCUGAUCGUAUGUGUAGCGGUGGUAUCGUCGUGCUGUGGCGCCGGCCAGAGACAACGACGACGUCGCCAUAAACAUACACCGAACGAAUUAGGCCGCGUUUGGUUCGCUGCUGAGAUGAGCCUAGCUCACACCUACCACCCAGGCUGAGCUGAUGAGACAGGCUCAAGACAUGCAACAUGUUGAUGUUUAGUUGACCGAAUCAAUAUAUGCAAGAUCAACGCAACAACUGUUUGGUAAGUUGUACUAGUAUAUCUUGUAUUAGUUUGAAUUAAAAAGAUAAGUACUAAGAUCAUAUAUAUUUUACUUGAAUCCACAAUAUAUUACUUAUUAUUAUCAUAUUAAACCUUAUUCUACUCUGAAAUAUACUAAUAUAUCUUAAGAUAUGCUAAUUAUUAGCUAAUACCAUCAUUAACUUACUAAUAGGUUGCAUCCCGGGAGCAAGCUCCAGAGAAACAGAUUUUAAUCUAGUUUUUCGGGAGCCAGGCUCGCUGGCUGCUUUUGCAUGCCGUCGGCCAGGGUCAAACCUCCGCCGAGGCAAUCAAACUUCCAGCCGUUGUAUCCCCAGAGCCUGAUCACCGCAUGUGGGAAACCAAACGCGCCCUUAACGAACGUGAGAACAUAGCUCGAAAAGAAGCCGGGGACGUUUCUACUUUGGACGGGGCGCGUAUGUGCGUACACGAGAUGCGUCGGCCCAAGAUCGAAGACACUGUUGGGGGGCCCUAGUUUUUCAGGUAGCUAUAGGGUGCCGUAGGCGCCUCGCCACCAUACAGUUCAAUUAUUGAAGGACGACGACGACGGGCUUGUUUUUUUUUGUGUGUUUUCAUAAAAAAUACGUGUAUAUUCACGAAACUCGAUUUCCAGUAUCAGCUGCAUCUAGAGUCGUCGUUGAUCGAGAUGAUUUGAACAUCUCGCAGGUCCAAAUUAUUCGGAACCGUGCAUGUGUGAAGCUGAAAAGUUUUGAAUUUGUAACCUUCUCAGUGCAUGUGUUGCUACUAGUGCUUUGAAUUAUUUCUGUCCUGCGGGUUACCGGUGAGGAUAAGGAUCAGGAGGAGCUUCUUCUGCCUUUUCCAUAAUAAGCAUGCGGCAAUUGAGCAUAGGCUAUACAUGCAGUACUCAUUAAGGAAUAGAUUAUCAUGUAAACUAGUAACUUUUCUGGAAUGUGCAGACUUAUCAGCUUAUCAAGAGUCGUUCGUUCCUGGCUGCGUCGAUAACAAGUCACAAGAAACCAACAGAUAUACAAAAACAAGACAAGCAAGUCCAUUUCACGCGAGGCAGUGCAAGACAAAAGGUCAGGCUUGCGAGGAUACGGCCAGACGCGAGUACUUGCCAAAACAAUCUGUGCGCACACACAACAAAACCCCAGCAACAGUCCGAGUUCACGAGAUGUUUGUCAAAAUUCCAUGCAGCCAAGCAUCAGGCCAGAACACCCUGCUAGCUUCUGUGCCACGGCCUGCGCCCCUGCCCCAACUCUGUCCACGCACAGGCAUUGCAUGCCACAGUGCCCGCACUGUAAUCGAAUUGGAUGGCACCAAUCGCGACCUUCGCUUUGGGAGACAGUUAUCCCCAAUGGAUUUACAUUGUGCAGGGGCUAGCUGAUUACUGACGAUCCACGCGCUUGCUAGCUCGACGCAUCUAUCUAGUGCCCAAAUGAUUUUUUUAAGCAAACAAUUCUCCAGUUGUAUCUUAUGAGAGUACGUACUAAAACUUGUGUUGAUUUCAAAGUCGAUCGAUAGAAGAUGCUCAAGAUAACAAAAUCAAGUUGCAAACUGCUCACGACGCCACGGAAGCUAGGAUACAACCUUGACAUCUGUAAUGGUCCAUAUAUAUAUAUAGCUGAGCAUCAUGUUGGUACCGUUACUUGCAUAUCCAGAAGUGAUGUGGUUUAUUAAAUAAUCAGGAUUAUAUAUAUUAUUUUAAUUUUGCAUGAUUAACCUGUGUGACCACUGACCACUGCAUGCAUGAUGGUCCACUUAACGGACUGUUGAUUAGUAGUAACUAACUCCAAUUUGAUGAUGUACGUGGGAGACUAGGAAGAAGCUUAUAAUCGAGCUAGCAUGCAUAGCUAGGGCUUCUUAGAGUGGGACCAAUGCAAGCAAUGGAGGGACGACGUUUGCCCAAUAAACUAGGAGAAUGUGUGGGAUGUUGCCGUCACCAGAGACAGAUCGAUAGGGGAAAAGUCAGGUUGAUGGAUGUGAAAAUCUCUCUCUCUCUCUGUGUGUGUGUGUGUGUGGAGGAGGAGACUGAAGAGAGGGAAAGGGAAGUAGCUGCUAUAGUGCUAUCACAUUCUCUCUUCUACCUUCCCUACAGAAACUUUCCGGCAACUAGGACAGCAUCCUCAUUGUCCACUUACAUGCGACGGGGGCAGCAGUCAAAUCAGGCGAUGGAAUCUUCUGUGAGCCCGUUGUAUCAUUUACUUACUAUACUUGUGUGUAACUACAGCUACUAUUUGGGUAAUUCGGUCAAGGCUUAGCAGUAGUGAACUCAACUUUAUGGUGUUACAUUGUUAAUGCAUGGCUACCGAUCGAUCGUUGUGAUUGAGUAGUACUCGCCGGCACUAUCAGUUCGUCCCACCAGUACUGGUCCGGGAGGCUACGUGCACAUGUAAACUAUAGUCGAAAGACGCGAUCGCGCGGCGGCCGUGACUAGACGACUACUGGAGGUCGUAGCGCGCAUGUGAGUACAUGGACUGUACGAAGGGUCCAGCGGUACGUGACGCGCUCCCGUCCGGUGGCAUGGGGACAAAGGAAAGGCAAGGCAAAGGCCCCGCCCCGGCACGCUGAUCAGUCAUCACACGCGCCAUGGCGGGACGCCCACGGGCAGCGCGCGCCCCUACCCCGCGCGAGCCGGAGGGACGAGAGAGCACACAGCUAUUCCGGCGAUCGUCGUCGGAAAGCCCCGUGCCCCUGCGUGCACGAGGAUAUACGCGUUGGAGGUUGGAGCGAAUAUACUGAUCACUUAGACAUGGAGCGUCCCUUUUGAGAAGCUAGCCUCAGCUUCAUCUGAGAACAAACUCACAUCUAGCUUAUAAAGUCCGUCAAUAUCUCGUAAGAUGUAUUAUUGUCACGGAAAUUGUCCAUUUAUCCUGGUUCGAGUUUCGGCAUAGCAAGGUGCUCAUAUUUUCUCGUAACCAUUUCUUUCGGCGUCAGGCGAUAUAAUCAUUAACAGUACUGAGGCGCUUUCAAGAUGUGUUAGUCUAGUUUUUUGGAGGUGCUUAAGAGAGUAGGGUGUCUACUAUCAGCAUGCGUGUUGUGUUUUGAGGGGAAAAAAACAGUUGUAAAACGUAUCUCGAUUUGAAACACUGAAACAAAAUUACCAACACUCAGUCAAAUUAUAUUCUUGCUUAGCAUACAGAAGUUUGCAUCAGUGUGGAACGCCGGUAAUAUUAUUCUUGUUUCGAGUUAUCUCUUUUUAUCAUUGAUAGCAAAAUGUGCUUAUGCAUAUAGCUGAGAUCAAGGUGAACACCUGUUAUAUAUAUUACAAAAAUAUUAAAACGUGAAGGCUAACAAUCACCGCAAGGAUAUUUUUUUUUCAAAAAAAUUUGUGUCCACAGACAUUCAAUCUGAUUAGACUGCCAGUUCAAUUAAUCGGCUGUCCCCCAUCACAACACAACAAACGGGCGCUAACUCAUGAACAACACCACUACAUAACUACAUUUUUCUUUUGUUCUGCCAGCCAUGCUCGUGUUGCGAUUGGCACGUGUGGGCUGGCGCCAACACGAGGGGAACGGACAAGGCGCGGCGGCAAAAUCUGCCCCCGUGAGAGCAUUUCGCUUGGAGCCUUGCGCUGCUAGCCGCUGCAUGCCCACCUCAUCGCCUGCAAAAACGAACAAAAGUUCCCGAGUAGUAUUAUCGAGCGAGCAAUGUGCGUUGAACUCCCAUGCUGUUUCCAUGGAGUGACAAAAAGGCCAGCUAGCCAAGCGCCGUUCGAAUUCUCCAGAAAUAGACCACGGUGACUGAACAAAAGAAGGCAUGCAUGCAUAUAAAUAAUGCACCAAGAUUCUCCAAAAUAAAAACGCAUCAAAGAAUCAGACAUGUACUCGUAUAUAUAUAUAUAUAUAAUCUCCUCAAAGAAAUAUAUCUAUAUCAUUGGCAUUGGAGCUACUGAGUCCGGCAAAUUCGGACUAAAUAGUGCUUAAUUAUAUCCAUCAAAAGAUAGGAAGACGUACCACUGAUUACGUAACAUGUGUACGAGAGGUACUAGAUUUUGGAGGAGCUAAAGUUGAGUGCUAAACUUUAGCACGUAUCAGCAAUCAUGCACAUGUUAAAGUUUUUUACUCUUGGCUAAAGUUUAGCCCACCCCAUUAACCCUCCCGUUUGAAUUAGUUAGUGCUAAAGUUUAGCACUUUCAUCCAUUAGCACUUGGAUCCAAACAGAAUCUUAAUUUGAUACGUGAGUUAUCCUUUUUUUGGGGUAAAGUUUUAAUCUUGGCACUUUUUGAUGGACCGUAAAAAGGCUCUAACGGAUACAUUGUCACUUCUCUUUGGGUCAAGGCGAUUCGGUACCAUCUUAUAGAAACAUGGUCUAUAUACUUUAUUUUAGCUACAUAUACAUAUAUUAACCAGAGAACCGAAAUCUCGAAUCCGAUACUCCAUGCCGCCUUGGUGUGACGUGCGUGAGUUGGUCUUGCUCGCCCGCCAGCAGAGACUGAGAGCCCCGCUCGAUCUGCCUUUGUCGCGCUCCGACGAUGCUGCCGCUGCCGCUGCCACUGCCACUCCGCAACAAGGCGCCGUCGUCGUCGCCCCCGGCGCGCGCCCUCCCCCCGCCUGGCCGUUCACGAGCAGAUUCCCCUUCUCCUCUCGCUGCCCCCACCACCACCGGACCCGGCUCUCUCUCUCUCUCUCUCCGCGCGCGCGCGCGCGCUUGCUCGCUCGUGCGCGCACGCAAACAGUGCACUCGCGCGCGACGACGACGACGUCGUCACGGAUCACAAGCCGCGCGCGCGCUAGCAGCUCUCAGGCAGCCAGGCCGGCCGCCGGCCUCAGGGGGGUCAGGGCAAGACGCUGCUCCCACCGGUGACUGCGGUCUUACUCGCCGCACCAAAUUUUAAGGUUAUCUCGCCACGCCCGGCCCUGCCCGCUCUGCAAGCGCAGGCUCCAAGUCGCAAGGAAGCGAACAUGGGGACUCCAUGCAAAUGCAAUGCACCGCGGCCGCGUGCAAACACGCAGGGGCACCUGUUAGACCCUGGAACCUCAAAUGAACAGCUCGGAUCAAAUGCACCUCUCUCCAUUUUAUCUCUUUCUCAUCUAUUUUCCUGGUACACGCGAGUACUCGAUCCUUACUGGGCAGAACCAACCUGAAUUACACCGGCUCAAGUACGCGAGUCCUCUCUCGAGGGCUACCUCGUGCUUCAAACGGUAUAAUCCCUUGACCUGUCGGGCAAUGUCCCGAUAAACCACCGAAAGCAGGAUCAAACAAGCUACCUCGCACGAAGGCGAGUCCAGAGAUACAAAUGCCAUUACACUUUACAUCACAGGCAGGUAGAUUACAUAAGUAAAUAAAAGCAACAUUAGUUCCCAAUGAAGGGACUUUAUUACAAAACGGUUUAAGUUUUAAGUCACGGCAGCGGAGUUUGAAAACACGGACACUGUACACGUCGAUACUACGGAUAUCAUGCUAGCCCUGCAUGAUAUCACUCAGCGGAGUCUGUGUUGGCCGGGGACAGAUCCCACUCCACGGACCAACCGUCAGACAGGGGGUAGGGCCACGGUGUAAUGAAAGCUGGCUCAUCAGGGAGAUUACCUGAAGUAGAAAGUCAUAAUGCAAGAUUGAGUAUUCUAAUACUCAGCAAGACUUACCCGCUCAUGGUAUACUUAGCCAUGUACCUAGACUUAUGCAGGUUUUUCAGGUUUUGAGUAGAGUUUUCAGCUGAAAAGUUACAAAGAGUAGAUCCUUAAUUUCAAAUUUUAGCUUUCAGGUUCUAGUUGAUUAUCCAUCCUAGGUAAGCACCUAUAACUACUCAAGCAUGGUAAAAUCUUUAACCAAAUAUCAUCUUUGAUAAUCAUAACAUUUCUCUUGUUACUCUAUGUGGUAAAGGGAUCAAUCGGUCUCAACCAUGAGAAGCAGACGAUUCUGAAUCGAAUUCAAUCUUGCAAGGAUAAACCUAAUUCACACGCUUGGAACACCAAAGGGUCGUUCCGAAGCAACCGUUUGCCUUUCAUUCCGACUCGUGGAUCAGAGCCACCACAAGCGACUGCAGGACUAUACGCACUUCCAAAGUGUAGGGCGUACGUCUGUAGCGCGACUACAAAAUCCGUACUCCUGGUUGCCCAGCAACACGUAUUCCUACACGUCGAACCAAGUAACCAAAAGAACCAAAUACAUGUGGUGGGGGGUAUGUCCACUCCUCGGGCCGAUUGGUUACUAGGCUUACCGCUUACCAUAUUUCGCGGCAUGUGGCUAGUACUUUCAAACGCUUAACCAUCGCUACCACACACUGCGACCUUAUCAAGUUCAAUAACACAGAUGGGGUAUCAUCUCAACCAUGAUAUCUCACAAAACUCCCGUCCGUCAUCCUUAUAGUGAUAACAGAAAUGUAAACAUUACAACUCCUAUAUCGCGCGAGUGACAGAAAAUUACUCGACUUCUACCGGUCCUAUUAGCAUAAAAGCUAGUCGAACUCAAGUUCCAGUGUUCAGUAUAUUGGUUCCUGGAAUUAUGCAACUAAGGUUCCAAGCAAUUCCUAAGAACUUAAUGCAUAAAAAUAUAUAAAUAGAUAUAAAUUGCAGUGUAAAUAAAAUAGUGGGUUAUGUCCGGGGCUUGCCUUCUUGCGUAGUGUUGGGGGCAGUAGGGUCAAAGUUUUCCGAAGUUUGGUUCGGAACUUCAGUUAAACCUUCGACGGCGUGCCCUGGGUCUUCAGCUGGUUCUAUUCCUUGUUCCAAAACCACUUCGUAAUCACCGUCGGCGAGAGUAGUCGAGUCUACAUGAUAUGCAAAACUAUAAGUUGAAGAAUGCAUAUUCUUUUAGGUUAUUUCACAAUAAAGUUGCAAUCCAAAGAAAAGUAGAAAUUACUUUUUAUAUGUAUCUUUUAGUUCUGCACUGGGCAGUCAUUUAUUGAGUAUUAAUUAUUUUAUCUAGAUACAUUAAAUAGCAAGGUUAAUUAUACUAAGUAUCUAACUAGUGGCAUGGGGCAACAGGUUGGGGUGGGUUUCCAAUAACUAUAUUAAAAAGCUUUAUUUAUUUGCUAUACCAAGUAUUUAUAUGAACCCUAUGUCAAUAUUAAAUUAUGGACCUAUUAUACUAUGUCCAAGCUUAUUUUUGUUGUUUGACACCUAAGCCUAGGUUGAGAAUUUAAUGACAGGUUAUAUUACUUAAGAACAGAACCCUAGAAUAUUUUUAUUAUUUUUGAGCAUUUAAAACCAUAGAUAUUAAUUCAUUAGGGUUAAUUAUGCCUUAUGCAUAAAUAAACUUGUAUAUUAAGAAAAUGCUACUUAAUUAAUAGAAUAAAUAUUUUACUUAAAUUAUACAUGUCAAAAGAAAACUAACACAACUGGUUUCACAUUUUUAUCAUUUUUCUUUCAAUUACUAUGUGUUUUCUAAGCCUAUAACGAAUUACACUUAACAUUUAAAUUAGAGCACCAAACAUUCAGAAACUGAAGUUCAUCCUUUAAGUAAAGUUGCAGAUCUUAAAGAGCGGAUUCUAACAAAUUUUAAUUUGUAUUUUUAUAAUUUUUCCUUGAAUUGAUACAGAAUUUCAAAGUUUGCAUCAAAAUAACACAAAAGGGUCCUUUCAGCACUAUUUAUCUGAGUCUAGGGCUUUGCAGAUAGCCCCCUGGGCUUUCAUUUCUUCUAAGUCCGGGGUCCUUGGCUCGAGACAGAAGGGGAACGGGAAAGGGACGGCCACGUUCCGGCGAGGAGGGUCGCCGGCGGCGAGGUCCGAGGGGAGGAGGAGACUCAGGAACUCACGACGGUUCGGGUGCACCUCUUAUCGUGGACUGGGGUGGUCGGAAGAGGGGAUCCCGACGAGAACCCGAGGCGGCGGCGGAGGGGUCGACGAUGACGGCGGUGCUCCGACGGUCAACGUCGGCCCCCUGCGCACGAGCUUCAGUGAGUCGUGGGGAAGGUGUGGGUGCAAUCAAUCAGGAGUAUACGGGUUGGAUUAGGGGCAACCGGCGAAGACAGGGAUGGCGGCGGCGAGGACAGACGCCGGCGAGCGUCGGGAGGAUGAUGCAGGGCACUAGAGACUCCACUAAGUGGUCGUAGAGCGCCGGGGUGAUGAUGUGGUGCUGGCUAGGGAGUCGUGGUGGCGUGGAGAUGCUCGGAGUGAGCUGUCCACGAUGAGGCCGAAGGCGGCGACGGCGGCGCUUGUCGGAGACGAAGCUCCGACCGCAAUUGUAGGGCAACAGGGGGUCGACGAGCACGAGUGAGCCACGGGGAAACUUGCACAAGGGUUAAUUGGGGCGGAGGAUGCCUGGUGGUGGCUGCCCACGGUGAUGCCGUGCGUUGCUGGAGUGGAGGAAGAAAGGGCGGCGGUGGAAUUUGGGUCAGGCGCUCGAGAAUUGGCAAUGGGACUGGAGGAACGGAACGUAGAGGUUAAGGUGGUGCUGUUGCGCGUGAGAGAUAGAGAGUUAAGGCUCUGCGGUGGGCUCUCCACGGUGACGAGAAGGUGGCGGCCGGCGGAUGUUCGGGGAGGCCGUGGCGCGCGCGCGGGAGGCCAACAGGAGAGAGGAACAGGACUGGGAGGGGAAGAGGAUGACGCGUGGAUGAAGAGGAAGCAGGAGGUGGACGGCGACGGCCUGCACAGCGGCGGCCGGAGGGGAAGCACUGCCGGCGGCAGAGCAGAACAGAGCAGGGCAGGGGAGAGCACGUGCUCGGGGAGAAGAGAAGGAAAGGGUCCGGGGGACUUGUUUGAAAAUUUAAGAAAGUUCAAGGACCUUUCGGUAAACUAAAAUUUCUCACUGAUAUAAAGAUCAAAUGAGGAAGUACCCAAAAUGAAAGUUGUAGAGUUUUUCAAACUCUACAACAUUGCUUUAGGGCUCAAGUUCAGAAACUCAAAGUUUACAACUUUCUAUGUUAAGUUUUUGAAUAAUGGUAGAAUUUGAAUUACCUUUGUUUUUAUCCAAAUAAAUUUGAUCAAAUUUUGGGUAUGUUUACAAAUUUUCCUGGAAUGUCAUGAUUACUUGCAUUUUUACAUAUUAGUACUUAAAUAAAUCUGAAUAUUACUAUUACACUUCAACUACUUUGCAUAUAGGCCCUUCAAUUUUUAUCUUAAUCACACAUAGGUCCCUAGUUUCAUACAAAGGCCUAUUUUUCUUAGGUUUUUAACUUACCUUUUUCACUUUUCUUCUCUAUGGUCAUUUAAAUUUGGCACUUAAUAUUAUAUUUUUCCUAGGUUUUAAUAUUAUCUCCUAUUUUACCCAAUUACACACAAGGUUCUGUAUGUUUCAAAAUUACAAUUAUACCCCUGGUUAUCUGUACUACUCACAUACACCAUAACAAGCAUGCAUAUAUUAUGUUAAAACUUAGUGUCUAUGUUUCUAAUUACCUGAAUGUUACACUUACCCUCCCCCCCCCCCUCGCCACCCAUCGACCAGUGUGCCAUCCUCUCAAUUCAGCAACAUCCCCACCAUGGCCACGGCGGCAUGGCGCUAACCCCUCUCCCGGCAUUGCUCAUCCCUGACAUCUUCUUCAUCGGGUCCAGCCAUACUCCCUCAUUGCCACCAGUUUCCCGCCGGCUCCGGCAGCGCAAUACCGCAACCCUAGCUAUACGAGCUCACGGAGCACGCGCGUCUUUCAUCUAUUAAUAAAAAAAAUCGAUUGUAAAAUGCACGAGUGCUAUUUGGUAUUCCCGAAAACAUAAAUGAUCACAUGUUGUGAAGGUUUACAUAAAUCUACCAUUUAUCCUAUGUUGCCACGUUGGCUAGUACCUAAUAAACCUACCAUUAAUCACAUUGGCCACAUAAACUCAUUUACGGUUAAAGUCGAAAAUGAUUUGCAGGUAGGAGCACCCAAAUAUCUGUGACCAUAGGGAGCAUUACAUAGCAGUAUGUACUGUUUGAAAGCGUUGUCUCGGACCUCGGCUGUUUUCCAUUACGGUGAGCAUCCGAGGUGUGUCUCUAUGUGUGUGUGUCAAUCUAUAUACCAACCACCACCACCUCAACUUGCUCCAUAUAGUGGUCAGAGGAUAAUGAUAUCGGUUCUUUUAUAUGGAAUGUGAAACGUACGGAAUCUUGGCGCGCAUGCAGAUUCCUUUAACCCAAGCAAACACGACGGGUGACGGACACGGGAUGCACCGGGUUGGACUGGCCGAAUUAUAUCCACGUCGAUCCGUCAUCUAGCUGAAUGACCUUGUCGCCAAACUAUCUUCUCUGCCUUAUCUACUCCUUCCGUUCCAAAUUAUUAUUAAUCGUUUUAGCUUUUCUAGAUAUAUAAUUUUUACUAUGCAUCUAUAUAUAUAUUUAUAUCUAGAUGCAUAACAAAGUCUAUGAAUCUAGAAAAACCAAAACGACUAAUAAUUUGAGACGGAUGGAGUAUGUUUGAACACUGUGUAGCCCACAACUUGCAAAAUUUCAUUGCCAGGCUGCAAUAUAGAAUUGUACGUAUUGGCGGUAUAUAUGGGACUUGGUGCGGCGUUCUCCUCCAAGCAGAAUGAAGAAGGCCACCAUCACAUAAACCUUUUACUGAUUAACAAUUGGCUUUUCUGGCCGGAAAUAAUCACGGAAGAGUAGAAGAGCAUGCCCUACACGAAAUGUCUAUAUUCAUUAUUCUAGCUAGGCAGCAACAGAAAACACACACACACACAAAAGAAAAAAAUAUAUCAAAACUUACAAAAAAAAUACCAUUUUAAUAUACAGGUUAUAUGCUUCGUGAGGAUAGUGAUGGCUAUAUAUGAUUGAGGCACUCCAUAGGGUGGGCAGCUGCCCCAGCAGUACCCCUGUUAUAUGCUCAUAAAAUCCACUCCCUUCGCUCCAACGUACUAUCUCGAGUCUUAAUUAUUUAGACCUUGAUAAAUGAUGAGAUUUGACGACAAAGCGCGUCGUCCAAAUAUUGUCCGUCCCAAAUCUUCUCUUGCAUUCAUUUGGCUUUCCAUUAUUGCCUUUUUCCCCCCCAAAUAUCAUCCAUUCUUCUCCAGAGAGGAGGAAUAUUGUGCACGAAGCACCAGGAUAUAUAUAUAUAUAUAUAGCAACAGAAGAAUAAUAAGGUCACGUGACGUGUCCACUGCCCGUCGGGACCGGGAGACCACCGCUAUAUAGAUAUGGGGAUCGAGUCCUUCAUUCUUGGUCCUCCAUUUAAGCUCCACACCUACAACUUCUUCCCUCUCUCCCUGUCUCUCUCUUGCCUCCAUUGGGCAAGCUGCCGGGCCGCGUGGCUAGCUAGCCCCGUGGUGUGUGCGGUGAGGCAUAGGGAGAGAUGAUGUCGAGGGAACGCAAGAAGCAGGCGGCUGCCGCUCUUCAGGAGAAGCUGAAGAUCCUCCGCUCCAUCACCCACUCCCACGCUGUAAUCUUCUUCUUCUUCUUCUUCUCUCUCUCCUUGCUCAUCAACCUUCGCUCCAUGUUCCUCCUGUUCUUCCAAUUCUUUCGUUCCGCUGCUCUUCAGAAUUCUGAACGUUGAAUGAUGGAUCGAUCACUUCUGCACUCUGCUUCUCUCUCGUACUUGCCUAGCUGCCUUGCAUGCCUUUUGAAUCAGUAGUCGAAAAACUGUUCACUUACCAUGGCCACGAUAUGCAAUUGGCAGCUGAGCGACGCAUCCAUAAUCAUGGACGCGUCGGCGUACAUCAAGGAGCUGAAGCAGAAGGUGGUGAGGCUGAACCAGGAGAUCGCCUGCGCGCAGGACGCGCUGAGACACGGCUCCUCCUACCCGACGGUACAUACUCGCAUACACUUCUCCGUGCCAUGUCCAUGUCAUCAUGUAGUCCAUGUAGAGAUAGAGUGAUAGACGAUGAUCCGCAUGCUGGCAUGCGCAGAAGUUAGGACCCCAUACACAUGAUGCUAAUUUGUUCCGUGGCAUUACCGGUAGAAGGAAGUGGAUAGAGGUAGUACUGCACCCAGUUCACAUGCUGGCCAAUCGCUCGGGAUUAUUCAGUCAGUACUAGUACUCAUCAGUAGGGCCGUAUGGUUCACAUGCGUCGUCAAGGCUUCUUGUUUCCUCAAUCCCAUGCCAUGCCAUGCCUGCUGCAUUAUUCAGCUGAUGAGGCUGAGCGGCGCUGAUUGAUCAAUCAUGAACGGGUGGACCGGCCGGAUAUAGAUACAUUUGAUUCGUACGGGUGCUGCAGGUGACCGUGGAAACCCUAGUGGGCGGGCACGGCGGGUUCCUCAUCAACGUCUUCUCCGACAAGAGCUGCCCGGGGCUGCUCGUUUCCGUGCUCGAGGCCUUCGACGAGCUGGGGCUCAGCGUCCUCCAGGCCACCGCGUCCUGCGCCGACUCCUUCCGCCUCGAGGCCGUGGGUGGGGAGGUAAAGUUAAUAAUCUUCUUCCUCUCUCAACACAAUCCAUCAAUCCAGCGGCGGCUUGUCAUGCCGGCGAUCGACACGCUGCUAAUUCUGCUCGGUCGUCCUGCGACGAUGCUGCGCGCAGAACGUGGACGAGGACGUUGUGAAGCAGGCCGUGCUGCAGGCCAUCAGGAGCUGCUCCGAGAGCGGCAGCGAGCAGGACGAGGAGUAGGCGGAGCUAGCUAGCGCGUAAGCCCCACGCGCCGCCUCGUCGUCCGAUCCUCCCGUCCUGGAGCGUCUCAGGAAGCCGAGAUCGCUCUACUUCUCCCCCGUUUCCUCCCCUCUAUUUUUGGCUUCUAUAUUUCCUCUUAUCUCUGGCGAGAUCAAUUAGUAGUUGCUCCCUAGUGCGGCUGAUGAUGAUCCGGUGAAUGAAUUCGUAGCGGCACCAUUAAUUUCCUGUGUAAUAGUACUAUGUAUAUAUGUCUACGACAAUAAGCAAGCAUGUAAGAAUGAUGGGAGGUUGGAAGCAAAGCUGAACGGAGCUGGCAUUCAACCGCCCUUCCAAAUGUAUUAAUAUUGAUGCAGGUUAUAUAUAUGCCCACGCAUCUCUCUGGCCUCUGCCGAACGAUCGGUCCCUGCCUGGAACCGUGCCUCCGCAGAAGAGCGUUGGAUAGGUGAGAUAUUUUACAGGUUGGUGAUCCGCCCAGACGCCCGCGUUCAAAACCGGCCGGCAGCGGUCGCGGGUUCCGAGAACGCAGGAAGGGCAGCCAAUGGGAAGCCCCCGUUCGAGGCGCGGUCAUUCCCUGCCCGCCCGCCGCCCGCCCGCGCGCCCCAACAGGCACCGCGCCGCGCCGCGCCGCGCCGCCGAGAUGGAGCUCGCCGCUCGCAACGCGAAGACCAUCCCCCUGCCCGCGUCACCCUCACGCCCACCACCAAGCCGUCCCAACGAUCGCGUCCACCCAGGCAAGGGGAGGGAGGAAGCGGUUAUUUAAAAGCUGCCGUGCCAUUUCUUUAGGGAGAAGCAGCACGGCUACCCGGCCGCGAGGAGGAUCGGCGGCAGCAGCCAGCAGGCAGGCGGGGCGUCCGUCCAUGCCUGAUCCCUGGCGGUGGCAGCCGCAUCGAUCGCUACAACGCUCUCGUGACAGACGCCUCCGCGUCGCCUGUGACCCGCGCGGAUCGGCCCGUCGCGCCCGGGAGGCGGAGCUAAGGGACAAUCCGAUGAGGGGGGAGGGGGGCACGGACGGAUCGAUGCGUGCCCGGGCGCGGCAGGCGGCAGGGCGUCGUGCCAUCCUGCGGCGGCCCGCUAGCUAGCCUGCUGCUACUAUGCCUUCGUGGCGACAACAGCCAGCAGGCCAGCCGCCUGCUCUCGCUCCGGCCGGCUCCCCCGCCGCGCGUCCGGCUAAGGUGCCGUACGCGGCUGGCUUUGUCGCCUCCCCACACGGGCGGGGCGCGCCAUGCCUGUGCUUUCACCUGGCCCUGACGAGCGAGCGAACCAGCCGCGCGCAGGCACAGGCAGCUAGGCCCGGCAGGUCGCCGCUCGCUGCUCCCCCGCCGCCGUCCUGAGCCUCACGAGUGGGAUUCGCGCGCGGCGGCCUCUCUGGCUAGCUGCUCCGGCCCGGACGCAGGGGAGGAUUUGGCCGCACGCAGGCGGCUGCUGCUCGUGAGGCGACAAUUAGGGAGCGGCGCGCUGCCGCGCCGGGGGCUCUGCGCACUGCACUAGCCAUUGCCCCCGGGACGCUGACUGACGAGACGUUCAGUUGAAACAGACCCGGGUAGGAUCGGUGCCAGCGGGCAUCGUCCGUCCACGUGAAACCGGCACAGGGGUGCAUGUGGGAUGGAAUUGGAAUGGCUCCAUGUGAGUACUGAAUGGUACUCGUCAAGUGAAGAACAACAGUAUACACGGCUUGAUGGAUUGCAUGUAUGAAUGGAUAAUAUGAAGUGAACCAGUACAAUCCAUUGUUCAAAAAAGGUGAAGUGGACUAAAAUGGCUCCAGAUAAGUGUAUUACUUGCUUCACUUUAAUCGGUAAGUCUGCGAUUCAACGAAGACAGAAUCUCGAUAUUUUCAAUCUGCAAAUUGUCCUGGUAGGGUCAAUUAAUGCUUCAGCCUCUUGCCCUUGUUCUCCUGGAUUAGAUGCAACACCAAGGGCCUGCUUGGAUAGGAGGGACUCAGCUCUGGGAACUAUUUCAGAUUUGAACUAAACCCAAGCAACAUAACAGGUGGUGACAUCCGCCAACCCAAUACUCAAGUAGAUCCAGUAUAAGGAACUGGCUGCACAAGAGAAAUGACAUUCUCUUCAGCGAACGAUUCAAUUCAGUUCCUUGUCCACCUUAUGAGCAGCUUCGGCACUCUUUCUAGCCAUCUUCACUCGGUCAUAAUCAGCCUUCCAUACUCUAUAGGCCUCCCUAACUUCAUCCAGCUGCGAAUUUUGUAUGCUGGCGAACCGGUCCAAGUUCUCUACCCAUUCUUUCCACGGCGGCAUAGUUGGAUCCAAGAAUUUCGCUAGCUCAGGCAGAAGAGCCGCCUUGUAGAAUUCCUCAACCCCCUUCCUGAUUUCCGCCGAAUUGUUAAUUGACUGGAUCCCAGGGCGAACAAUUCUCCCUUCUUUGUUUUUUGUGCAGAAACUAUUAUCUCCAAGGAUCAGAACUUCUGAAGGGGCUAUUGGUAGAACGAUUCUAGAAAACUUUGCUAGAGACAAUUCAAUGAUAUCUUUGGGUAGUAAUCCACGCUUCACUGCCACUGCAGUUCCAACCAUCUUUCGGAUCUGAAGUGAAGAAAAAUAAUAGCAUGACUAUAAUCACAACUCCAAGUGUGCAUAAUAUUUUCAGUAAUUGGGUAUCAAAAAUUAAUUCUGCGCAUUGAAUACUGAUGAGCAUCACAGUUUUGAAACAAAAAAAAUUACUAGUUAAUAAACUGCUUAGUUCAUGCAUACUUCUUCCUUCUCAAGGGACUAGUUCCUUGGCGUGAUAUCAACUAUCAUAAUUCAGAAAUAGUAAUAACAGUUAGUGAGCUGGUUUGUAAAGAGGAGCAGAUUUGAAAAAUCGAGCAUAUUAUAUACAGUUCCCUUGACAAUCCCCCAAAAUAAACCACAACCCUAGCAAGAAAGUGGAAUUUACUUAUCCCUGAUCAGUUUGUAAAGGGAGUAUCACGUUAAUAAUUAUUUUGUAAUAGAUUAUACAUACCUGAUGUAGCAUGAAGGAUACUCCGCAUAUGGUCAAUUCCACAAAUUGAAUUCCUGAUGAACUCUGCAAUUCUCCACAGGAACAGGUGAUAAUAUCUCUGAAAUGUGAAGCAUUUAGCCUAUCACUCUCAUCAGGCUCAUAUAGCCACCUAGCCUGAAUCUGCACCUGAUUCCCAGAACCUUUGGCAAUAUCAUUCAUACAAUUGUCUUCCGAUACACCAGAAUCAAUCAUUGAUGAAAUAUUCAGGUCUUCAUCAUGUUCUGAAGAGCUUUCUUCCAUACCCAUUUCAGAGGGCAUGGACUUCAGUGUCGAACCUGCACCUUUCACCCUUCGGUGUCUUCCCGCAAGAACUUUUCUGUACUUGGCACGUGCAGUGUAAUUAUGAAAUGGAUGGUUUCCCUACAAGUUGAGAAAGUUGUGCAAGUGAAGUUUGUGUGCAUGCAAAGUAAUUGGAUAAGCAAAAUUAUUCUAAUAAGCUAGUGUUGCCCUACCAAGACGAGAAAGGAAAGGUCUUUCCUAAUGUGUUGUAUAAAAUACUACUGCAUAACCAAUAAUUUGGUGGUAAUUCAGGAACAUGUCCGUGUUAGGACUAUGUUCGAGAUGUAUCUUGGGGUGAAAGAGGGUAUACAUGAAAAAUUAAAUAUCUUUAGGGUUUAGUUGGGCAGGUUUCGACAAGUUGUCUCCACUUCUUCAGUCGUGUUAGUCCCACCAAGUUCAUACUCUGAACCUUCAAAUUUAGUGCGACAACUUGAGUGCUAAGCAUUCUUAAAUGUUCCACGAAUAUGUUCCCAAGUUUCUCUUUUCUAUCUUCUAAUUGAGAGAUCACAGACAGCCUAAGCAAUUCAGGUACAUGCCAGACUAGAAUUCAAGAUUAAGGUUUGCUGGCCAACUGGACGAGUUUGGUGACCUCUGAUGUAAUAUACUUAUUGAAUAAAAACUCAUGCUGUCAUGCCUCAUUCUUAAUCAAACAUAUACAUAUGUCCCCCCUAAAUAUAUGAAUGUUAUUGUACGAUUCAUGGAAGAUGUACCCUAUUGUUUUGCAGAUACUGCAGAGUUACGAAAUGAAUGAGACGCAUUUAAUCAGGCACAUACCUCGAAACCUUUCAGUAUGCUGUUGAAUUCUGACAAGUGCUCUUGCACUUCUUCGGAGCUACAACCAUCUUUAAUUCCAAUAGUUUCAGCAGGAAGAAGAUAGAAGUACUCACGGUAUAAGCACUCCCUCCUUACAUCAAAACUCCUAUAAUUCAAUGCACCCCAAUACAAACAUGGUUAUUUAGGUAUAAUCCAAUGAAUUACCAGACAUCGUUAUUUCUGUAAAAAUAAACAACCCCACUACCUUUGUGCAGGCAAGAUACUAAAAACCCUGACAUUGUUUGGCAAAUUUGAGUUAAUAAAACUGGCAAGAGAUAUGCCAUCAGGAUCAUUCUCCCACGCUCUAUCAGGGAUUUCCAUUUUAAGGGAGAUCAUUGUAGCCAGCGAGUGUACCUGCAAUUAGUCCAUUCUAAGCAUGCAUACAAGCCUUUGUUAGCUGGAAAAAAGGAAAAAAAAUCUUCAUAAAUUUAAGAGAUUAUGUGGUCAAUGCCUACCCCUUUAUCAGUUCGGCUACUCCUCUCCCACCCAACCUUUUGCAGUUUUCCAUAAUUACUCUCAAGAAUGCCCCCCGCCUUGAAGGUGGCAGAUUCCAAGACUGACUCGAUGGCUGCAGAACAAGCUAGAGGGAUUAAUCUACAUCUCAUACUGCUAACCCAUCAUGCCGAUACAUGACAAAAAAGAACCAGGGCAAUUGUAGAACAUCCAUGAUUUAUUAUCCACGUCAUACAAGCUCGUGACACAUACAAUUAUACCCGUGCGGUCAUAAAUGGCAUUUUCGCCAUGGGCGUGUCCUUUCACAAUCGUGCUAUUGGAUUACAAAACAUUGCUCUGAAAGUUUGAAUCCGUCAUGGAUACAGUAAAAAUAACCGCUAGGGACUGCGAUUGCUCCAUGUGUGCUUUCACAACAAAUGAACCGGCAUUAGAGCUCGAAUGAACAGAACGACUAGCAAAAAUGCGAUGCAACUAGCACUAAAAAAGCUAUCCAGUUCUACUAGCCAGCAACGGCGCACCAAAUUAAGCUACACUGAGCAACCACCAAAUUAAUUUGCUUUGAUCAAACCCAGAAAAACCAUUGAGUCAAGCAGCAAGAGUUCAAAACACACGAAGUGCCAGCAUAGAAAUUCAGAGCUCACUCGAGUCCACGCUAAGCUCCCGCUGCUUCUGAAGGCCUGCCACGAAAGCACAUCGCAUUCAAUCACAACUCCAUCCCUUUACAUACGGGAAAUUGAGAAGGUGAAGAGUAAAAACCUCGGUACUCGGUGCCGACGUAGCCGACGCGGAGCACCACCCUCUUCUUCCGCGCCGACUCCCAUCUCAUCCCGCCGCCUCCAUCGCCGGCGGAGGUGUCAGGCGGAGACGGCGGUGGUGCGGCGGGGGCGGAUGCGGAGGAGGAAUAGCAGAUGGUGUUGCGCAGGAUUCUUGGGGUGGCACGCCUCGCUAGGAGGACGGAGGAGAUAGGUCUCCGGAGAAGCCACGACGACGUUGCGGCGGCGGCCAUCGGUGGCGGGACGGGACAGGGCGGCCCACGUGGAAGGGCUGGGGGAUAAGAAGACGACGACCGGUGGGGGAGUGGGCUUCGCCGUUUUAUGGGCUUUCUCAUGUUGGGCUACUAAGACUAAGGCCGAACUCGAAACGUGGGGAAAAGAAAAUUCUUCUCUUGUCUUCAUAUAUCUGCUGAGAUUUUAUAGCGAAACCAAUCUGUAAAUCACAUACGGAGCUACAGUAUCAGCUGUGCUAACAGCCGCCGUAGCCCGUGGGUCUUCCUCCUCUCUUCCUUCCGGCAGCCAAAAGAACGGGGAUCCAUCCCUUGGUAAAUUUAGUUUUCCAGCAGGCCCUAUUUUUCUAUUGAUUUUGGUUUCCUCCCGGCAUCAGCGAGGUGGCGGCGACGACGGCUCAUCGGAGUAAGAUCUUCCUGAUCUGUCCCUACCUCAACGACGCUGACGAGGGGCAGUAAGGAUAGAUUCUCCCAUGUAUUACAAAACUGGACCAGUAAUCCAGUAUCAUUUAUUCAUAUUGGAAUCGAACAAUAAGAUUAUUGGGCCAGUGCCUCCCAAAGGAUGCAUGCAUUUGGUCCUUGAAAACUUAUACGGUGUAGUAUGCACUCUUUUCGAGAGAACAAGGAUCAUGUGUGUGAACUUGUGGAGGUUCCGUUCUGCCGUUGUGCUUACCAGACGAUGAACCAACCAAUAUGAACGUUUUCUGCUGAAGACUGAAGUACUGAUCCUUUGGUCACAAAGGAGAGCAAAAACAGAGGCUCGGAGCAGAGGUUGUAAAGCUAAAAGCGAGUCGCAGCAACCGCAAGAUGCUAGUAGGUCAUCUGUCUUAGAAACACUUAUGAUUCAAAGCGUGGUACAACACAAGAUGAAGCAUAAAUUACAAAUAAAAUCCUAAUCUCAGGACGUGUAGAAAAUGUAACUGAACUUUAAGCACCCUGUUUGACACGACGACAGUUCUGGAUUGGACAGCACACUUUACACCACAGGCUCCAGCCUGCUCUCUCAAGAGUAGUUCACCUUCCUGCAGUCGUAGCGGAUCUCGCCGCUGGCCCCGGUGAGCGGGCCGAGGCUGGCCAUCCUCACCAUGGCCUCCGCGAAGUCCCUCCUGAACGCGUCCGGGUUCGCGGCGUAGAACCGCACGAGCGCGUCGGUGGCGCCGAGGCCGCCGGCGAACAGCUGCUGGUCCGAGUGCAGCACGCCCCUGCGCCGCAGCAGCGAGGCGAAGUAGGCGCCGUCGAACCGCGCGGGCGUCGGGUCGAGCGGGGCCAGGUUGUCGUCGCCGCCGCCGGUGGCGCGCGGGCACACGGCCCGGAGCGACGCCGCGAGGGGGCCGUCCAGCGCGGCGGUCUCGUUGUAGAGGCGGUCCCGGAAGUUGGUGCAGCGGGAGAAGCCCAGCGUGUGGCCGCCCGAGAGCACGACGAGGUCCUGGAGCGAGAGGCCGUGCGAGGCGAAGCUGGAGGCGAGGCGAUCGAGGCUGAAAGUCGGCGCUGGGAUGCUGUUGUUCGCCGCCGAUUGGCUCGCCGUGCGCGCGUCCCGGCGGCCCAGCGGCACGUUGUACGACGGCCCUCCCAGCUGCAUGCGCAUUGCGCAACCACCUAGUUAGCUGCUGCGUUUGGUGCACGGUACGUAAAGGUUUCUGUGCAUGCGUGCAACGACAAUGGAGGCGCUCGAACGGACCGCGACGACGGAGUCACGUGCCGCGACGGCGACGAUGUCGGCGCAGGAGACGACGUUGCCCCUGCAGGCGGCGUUGACGGCGGCCUUGAUGCGGUCGAUCACGUCGAAGCCGCGGACGGAGUUGACGUUCGGCGAGGCCUUCUUCUCGCCGGUGAAGAAGGGAGUGUCGUCCAGAAGGAUCGAGCCGUCGCACCCCUGAGAAUUAAUUAAUCGAGCACAAAACAUCAGGACACUGGCUGGCGCACAAAAACCACUGGGGAGAAAUUCCAAAAUCCAAACGCAUGCUAGGAUUGACUGCAAGCGCGUGGCGAAACGGUGCGCACGUUGACGAAGCAGUCGUGGAAGUGCAGGCGCAGGAGCGAGGCGCCCAUGCGCGGCUCCGCCGCCACGGCCUCCUCCACCACCCUCCUGAUGGUGGGGAGCGCCGCCGGGCACGCCUUGUCGUAGAAGUGCGGGUCCAGCUGCCCGCUGCUGGGCGCUGCCAAGAGAGCGAACGCCAUGGCCGCGACGCACGCCGCCACCACGAAUCGGCGAGCCAUCGAGGUCGCCAUUGCUAGCUAAUUAAUCAGCUAGCUAACUGCGCUAUCACUCAACUAAAUAACUAAUUCACUGAUCAAGCUAGCUCGAUAGAUUGUGCGAGGACACGGCGUUGCAGGAAGCGCUUUAUAUAGCCCGUGGAGUUGACCCCGUCGACUGGAUUCCACACAAGCAGCUUGCGAAGCUAACCUAGCGUCGAGCGAAAAAGCGUUAUAAAAAGUGAGAUAAAAAUUCAGUGGAUGAACUGAGCCAAGGUGCGUGAGGUUGACUUGGCAUGGAAACGCUCAGGGUUUCCAGGUGGUGGGCAGGAAAAAUGGGGGCCGAGACGGGUGGAUUGCGGUGAGGCUUUUGCUGCUCAACGAUCUAACUAACCGAGAUCGAUCUGGUGAUGAUCCCCUAAUGCAUGACGAUCGCCGGCAGCUGACCGCGGCCGGGGAAGCUGCCUGGAUUUGCUCGGCGGGCGGGCGUGAGUGAUGAGAUGAAGGUGAUCUAAUUGACCUACCCGAAGCUAACUUACAGCUGCUAAGCUCGGUCGAUCGUACUUGCUGCUUCGUUAAGCGGUUUUUAUAUGCAAUCGAUCUAGCACCAGGACGGCAGCGACAACCACAGGCAAACUCUGUACUACCCCUGCUACUUGUGCCAUGCAGCUUCUACUACUGCCAAUAUAAUUUUGUCAUCUCCUUUCACUUUUAGAGUUCGAGAAUUAUCCGAAACAUUUAGUAUUCUAUAGGUUUGUUUAGUGAGUUUUUUCUGCUUCUGCUUCACUGUGAGAAGUUAUUCUGUGCCUAAAAGUGCUUUUCUAUAUUUUUUAGGUCAAAUCUUAAAUAUGAAGUGCUCAUGAGCGGAAAAUUAAUUAGGAGAAACUACCUUUUCUAGCCUCUAGUCCCGCCCGUUAGUUCAUUCUAAACAAACGUUUCUCUGUAUAAAAAAAUUUGGCAGAGCUUCUUCUAAUUUUAAUUUGGAAGCUGCUCUAAAAGCUCUACUAAACAUAUCCAAAAAAUUAAUUAUAAAGUGUGCGCGCGCGCAUAAGUGAACAGAGUGCACGCACAAGCUAUCAAAUAUCGAGUUCUUGCUUUAUUCUUUAGCGUGUGCUUGAACCAAUCCUCAAUGAUACAUGCAUUAUCUGGCUCAUUGUGUUUUCACCAUGUGACAACACAUGUCACAGGUAGUAAGCUUCAAUAAUAAUAAGCAAUUCUCAAAAAUAAUUUCGAAUGGCUUGCCAUCCACCCUUAUGGCUGACAUCACGGUUCGAAUUUAACCUUGACCGACUGCCGCAUUACACGAACAGUUUGUCUUCAUCGCGGAGCUAGCCAUGGCCUCGAGGUUUGGUGGUGGGGGGGGGGGGGGGGGGGGUGUUCUUUCCGUGUUCUUCUUCCUCCUUAAAAAUAAAGAAGGGACUCAAGGAAGCUCCAUUGUUUUAUGGGGUGUAGGGGGACUUGAGCCCCCCAGGCCUACGCUGGACCUGCUCUUCGUUCAACUGACAGUUCUAACAAAAAGAAAACUGCAAGUGACAGACAAAAAUAGGACAAAAUGUUAUGUCCCUUAUGACUUUUGAAGAGUCACUUUUCGGUGAAAAAUAUUUUAGAAAUGUGCUAGUAUAUCUUGAUUGUUUUUCUCCAAAAUUUUCAAUUGCCUGAAUAAUUCGAAAAAAAAAGCAGAGGAGAAAAUCAUAGAGCCGCUAGUGUAGCUGUUUUUUUGGAAUAGAAAAAGGAAGUCGUGGGUCAGUCUAGUAUGGGCCUUGUCGGAGCCCAUAUAAACAACCGUUUUUAUUGGGCUUCAAUCAAGGUGGUACAUGGGCUCAAAACUAGUAGACCACAGUUCGGACUGCCCUCAACUGCAUUUCCCGCCACCAGUGACAGCAGCAGAUCUGUCCGUUUCGAACAGAACGACAUCCACGCGCCCACACGGCCACACCCCAAACCACAAGGAGCUCAGGAGUCAGGAUGAAGACAACAAAACAGGUGCUAGGUUUGUACCACUAGUGGUAGCUGAUUCAGUGUCAAUCUGCCAUGUACUAUAGGGAUCAGCACUGGUUUUGUUUAUCCCAUCCGGAUCUUUGCAACGGCCCAGAAGCCCUCGUUGUCCCCUUCCCUUUGGCAACGUUCAGUUACCAUGUGCUGGUAGUGGUAGGAUACUUCGAAAUUACUACCAGUACUCUGGAAGUGUUUCACCGUCCAAAAGGAGAGUACGCGAGCAGGAGCAGUCAAAGCCAACGCGGAGGACGGCCGCGGCCACCGCUGCAUCCACCAGGGCGGUUGGUUUCUCGUGACCCGGUGCGCCUGGCCGGCCGCAGGCCGCAGCUGCUGCGAUGGGAACGAGAACGAGACGCGUCGCCCGGCGGAUCCUGCGUUUUCUGCAGCUGCGAUGUUGCUGUGUCACUGUGUGCAACGGCAACCCGCAUCCCCGGCAAAUCUUUUUUCCCUCCCUUUUUAGCGGUGUCCGGUUGCAGAGCAUCAUCACCGCCCCGCCCCCACCAACUCCUUGGUCGACCGUUAAAUGCCAGGACAGUUUCCGCUGAGACCGCUGGACGCUGGUGGAGUGGUCGGCGGGACGCUGGUGGAGGAAGCAGCUGCUGCAGGUGCAGGGAAACGGUAACAUGCGGCAGCCUUUGGCUUUGGCAGCCGCGGGCAAACGGGAUCCUGCUCUGCACAGCCACAGACUCACGGUGGGGGCGAAUGGUGACGAUGCUGUUGCUGGUUGUGUCGUGUCCGUGACCUCCAGGCUCCAAACACUAGUACUGUUUCCACAACAAUUUGCUGAUGGUGGCGACUCGGCGAGUACACUGUCAUCUCAACGCCCAAGGUCACCCUGGUACAGUACACGGAUUGGCUGGAUUUUUAUAAACUUUUUUAACUUUUUCAAAAAAAAGUGGGACGGAAGAGGAGCAGGCUGCAGGCAUUUUGAGGAGGGGCAGCGGCCAGCGGCAGGGCUGUGCAAAAAUAUGAAACCGCAACGGGCAACGGCUCCUUGGUCAGGUGGAGCGGUCAACGUCUCGCUCGCGGGGACACUCGCCGCCCUCUUAAAACCAGCGGCAGCUUUCCCGUCCUCCCACACCUCCCUCUCCUCGGCACUCUAGCUAGUCCUACGGACAGCCACUCAGUCCUCUCCACUCUCCGCGCACCACCAAGAAAGCUAAUCUCGCCGUACACGCAUGGGCUCCGAGGCCGAGUGCGCAGCUCUGGCCGCCGCCGACGGGGCGGCGGGCGGCGGCAGGGCGGAGAUCGACACGUCGGCGCCGUUCGAGUCCGUGCGGGAGGCCGUCGACCGCUUCGGCGGCAGCGCCGCCUGGAGCUCCGACCUCGUCAAGCGCAUGUUCGCGCCCUCGAAGGUGAGUUUGGACAGUAGGUGACAGCGGCAUCUCUCCCUCCUCCAGUUCCCGGCUCCUCCUCCGCAGGUCGUUCAAUCGCGCGCAGCAUUCUCACGGCGAUUUAGAAAGAUGCUGGUGGUUGCCGCUCGUCAGUGAGCGCAGCAUCAAUUUCAUGUCAGUUUUGCUCAACUGCUUGUUCCCCCGAGUGAUUACCCCAGCAACCGAGUGAACUAAUGAUGUGAAUCUUUUACUCUAGCUGCUACUACUAAUAGCGUCGAGAGUGUUUCGCGUUGGGUUCCUAAUUGGGGUGCUCGCUGUAUGGCCACGAACGAAUACUGCUCUGAAUCGUGGUUCAGAACAUGCAGUUUUUAUUUCCGCAAAGCUUGAGUAGGGUAGAUGACAUGUGUGUCAUGUGUGAAUUGUAGUUCUGUUCUGAUGCCUUGCCUUCUAAAUAUCUAGCGAGGAUUAGAGAGCAUCUUCGCAUUGCGAGAUUUGUAUCUUUUCCCCAGUCAACACACAACUGUUAUGAUUUUGUUUUCUCAUCAUCUUUUUCCUCAUUUGCAACCUGCAGAAACAUGAAGACUCUGAACAAGCUGCAGAAUCCAUCAACGUACAAGAGCAGGCUGCACAGCUAGAAAAUGAGGUUGCUGUCAAAGAGAGGGAGACUCUUGAUGUGUUGAAGGAGCUGGAGUCAACCAAGAAAAUCAUAGCAGACCUGAAGCUGAAGAUACAGAAAGAAUCCACGGGAACAUCCCCUGAUGAAGCUGGGAAGUCCGAGGAAACUGAUCAGGUUUCUGUGUCAGGACCUGAAGAGCUGCAACCUGAAAAUGUUACCGUGGAUGUGGACAUGGAAGGUGCAGAAGAAAAUCCGCAGCAGCCUUCUGGUUCAGUUUUGGUGGAACUUGAGCAGACCAAAGAAAGCCUGAACAGAACUACAAAUGAUCUGGCUGCAGUGCGGGCUGCAGUUGAGUUACUGCGAAACAGCAUAGCGAAAGAGAAAAUGUUACUUGAAAGGGGCCGAGAAAAGCUUUCCUCUAACACUUCCUUGGUUUCUUCUUUGGAGAAUGAGCUGGAUCAGACAGCACAAAAGUUGGAAACUUUGAAGGAUCUGCAGAAGAGACGCAAAGACUCCUCGGACAUUUUUAUCGAGAUUAAGAAAAUGACCUCUGAGGUUCAAGAGCUCAGGAGCAUGGCAAAUGGUUCAAAAUCUGAAGCGAUGUUGUUGGCUGCAGAAAUCGAGCAGGCAAAGGCCAGCAUUAGCACAGCUGAGAUCAGGUGCAUUGCAGCCAAAAAGAUGGAAGAAGCAGCUAGAGCAGCAGAAGCCCUUGCACUCGCUGAGAUCAAAGCUCUACUGAGCCAUGAAAGUUCUUUUGAAGGUGAGAAUUCUUCUGAUGGAGUGACUCUCUCGAUGGAGGAGUAUUUCACACUGUGUUCCAAAGCUCUUGAAGCUGAUGGAAACUCCAAGAAGAAAGUAAGAGAUGCUAUGCAGCAGGUAGAUAUAGCUAACAGUUCAGAGUCUGAGUCGGUUAAGAGGCUCGAGGAUGCCAAAAUAGAGGUUGAGGAAUGCAAGAAGGCGCUACAAGAGGCCCUAAAGAGGGUAGAGGCUGCAAACCAUGGGAAGCUUGCAGUUGAAGAGAUUCUUCGAAGAUGGAAAUCUGAGAGUGGACACAGAAAGCGGUCUAUUGGCGGCUCUCCAAAGUUCAAAAACGCAACCCAUCGUCGUAAAGAUUCGUACAGCAUGGAUAUUGUUGAUGAUGUUUCUGAUAGAUCCUUCAAGCAAACUUUGUCAAUUGGGCAGAUACUGAGUAUGAAGUUAAUGGGGCCUGAUGGGUAUGAUAAAAGUGUCUGGGAUGACAAGACAAGCGAGACGCCAAAUAUCUCACUUGGUCAGAUUCUGAACCGAAGUGGUGUUUUGUGUAGAGAAGAUAUGGCUUCUCGCAGAAGAAUUUCAGGAAAGAGAAAGAAAUUUGCAUUGACAGGACUUUCUGUUCUACUGGCGAAGCAAUCUAAGAGCAAGAAGAAGAGAGAAUCCUUUUAAACUGAUAUAAAUUGUCCCAACAAGAUCAUUUGGUAUGGUAGUUCGUAGUAUUGUACUAUGUAGCAGCAGUUCAACCUUGUCGCCAGUAGCUAAUUUUCAAGCUAUUCUAUCCGAGGUGAUGUACCCUCGUAUUAAAUGUAACAGGUAGCAACCGGUAGCAAUUUUUGCUGCUAACUAGAGUAGAGUUUGACAGUUCUCUACGCUAUAUGCUAUUGAGAUCUAUAUAAUUGGAUCCAAUGUUUUUACCUUUCUGGUUGAGGCACCUAGCAGAUACACUUUUACUGGACAUAUGAUGGUUGUGCAAGCACCGGUUUCUUUCCUUUUUGCUGAAGUGCACAAAGCACUAUUUGAUGCACGUAUGAAGCACUAUUUAAGCAAUAUUAUCCUCCCGAAGUUUAGGUCCUACUCCUAAAGUAUGGUAGAAGAGAUAAAAGCAUAUAUAAGGUGAUUUUCUUUCUUUUUUAAUUCAUCAUUAUCGGUACAUACAGACAGGAAUACCUCCUGCUAGUGUGUCCGGCCCUGACGAGUGGGCCAGGCGCGUCGUGGUGGACCUACGAUCCACCUCCAUCACCUUCAGACCCAUGGAGCGCCGCCGCCGCUUCCCAGGUAAGGGCGCGAUGGUGUCUGGCUCUGGCGUGUGCGUCAAGCGUAUCGUGGUGGACGCGUGCCACCACAUGCUCGGCCGCCUAUCCUCGAUGAUCACCAAGGAGCUGCUCAACGACCAGAAGGUCGUAAUAGUCCGCUGCGAGGAGAUAUGCAUCUCCGCGGGCCUAGCCCGUCAGUGAGUCUUCUGACAGGGUGUCCGUCUAGACGGACGUAAGGUUAUCCGUGUCCUCACCUUUGCCCUUUGGGUGACGGGGCAUGCGGCCCGGGCCUGACAGCUGGGAUCAUGGUCUCCUGACCUUCCCCCGUGCUCACAUAGGUCCGGUGCCUCCACGUGUCCACAAGGACAAGGUGCUCGGAUCUAUCCUCCACAGGCUCGGACCCCUCAGGGGGUCCGACGCCGCCACAUGUGGGGGCCAGACCCCUCUGUGCCUGUCCAUCCGGACCGGCCUCGGGGGCCCGGACCCCCCUUACCCCCGGAAAGGGGUCCGGCGCCGCCACGUGCCGCCUCAAGCUGCCAGGGAGGCGGUUGUUGGGCCAGCCCUGCCACAUGCCCGUGGCAGAAGGCCUCCCGUGGGGCACCAGCCCAACUACCGUAUAAAUGCGGGUAGGUGGGCUGUGUGUGCCCAAGUCAAAGUAUGGCCUGCUCACUGACACACGGGACAGGUGAGCUGAUACCACGGUAAGCCCGCCUGUUUCCAAGGCGGCGCGUCGUAUCACCGUAUACUAUGCGCAAGCGGCGUACAGUCCACUCACGGCACCGCGCGGUGGGUAAUGAUGGUCUGCUGCAGGAGAGCCGAGGCAUGCGCUGCAACAAUGCGCGCGGAGGCGACGGUGCGGCGGGUCAGCGCAGCUCCUACGCCUGUCAGAGGGUUCUAGCCCAACAGUGACAGCACGUCUUCCACUGUGCGUAACACUGACAGCAGGCACUGUGCCGGUAAGGCGGCACAAGACCAUAUCCUGGCUGUACGCACAUCAACUUCUCGAUCGUGAGGACUACAGGAAGGAGCUGGAGAAGAAGAUCACAUAUCUCUCAUAUUACAGGUUCCUGUUGGCCGGGCUCACCUGUCGGGACCCCACACAGUGUAAGCACUCCCCUUGGGCUAUAAAAGGGAGAGUGCACCCGUUAGAACAUAAGUUUUUCUUAGACUCUGACAAGGUCUACACCCGCAAGCUGACCACAAGCACACUCAAACAAUACAACACUCAAAUGGACGUAGGGUAUUACGCUCCGGCGGCCCGAACCACUCUAAAUCCUCACGUCUUUCCCGUGUUCAUUCGCCCUUUGAUCAAGCGCUCCUAGGUCUCCCCCAAACUCUUCCUAAACUAGGAUUAGGCGGGUGCGUUCCGCCACCCGGCUGGAGAUUUCCUCCGACAAUCAUUAUAAAAAGCAUGUCUUUAUGCGAGUGGCCUAUCAGAAGUAAUUUCACAUUAAAAAACUAUUUUCAUGCAUAAACUAAAAAUCAGGUAGAUGUGUACCAAACCAUGCUUGUGAACACAAUGUAUCUUACAAAAAAAAAUUUCAAUCUUUGCAAAUGCUUGGACCAUUCUCUCAAGGGCUCACAAUAUUUUUGUAUGAGCGCUUAUUUUUCUAUAAUAUAAAGAUAUGCAGCUUUUCUGUGUAUUCCGAACAUAAAAUUUGUAUGCACCUCGAAAUUCUUGGACAAUUAAGAACGCUAUUGUCUAACAAUUAAAUAUUCUUAGUUACCAAGCCACGAACCGUCGAUAUGUCCGAGUGGUUAAGGAGACAGACUUGAAAUCUGUUGGGCUACGCCCGCGCAGGUUCGAACCCUGCUGUCGACGUUUCUUUUUCCUGCUGUUCUUUUUUUUUAACCUCUCUCUCUCUCCCCCCCUCCCUCCCUCUCUCUCUCUGCACGUGAUUUACUGAGUGCAGAGGAUACUUUACUAAUUUACUCGCGACUCAGAAGCUGGUGUGAUGAAUGCAAUGCGUACUUUCAGUGUAGUGCUUCAAUCAGAAGAGAAGGUGUUCUGUCUGGUUGGAAAAGCAGAGGUGCUGCAAGAAACGAUCGAUCUGCCGCGAAGCAAGUCGCAUGAGAUUCAGCGGUUCAGGAAGCAAGUUGCCCCAGUCUAUCGAGCUGUCUAUCCUCGAUGAUCGCCGAGCACAAAAUCUUUGUGUUUCGGCGAUGGCUGUACUCCAGUGUUCCAGCCCAAUCAAGCACGGUGCACGGAUGAGGACGAGGACGCCAGCACAGAACCGGAAGGACGAAGCUUUCCAUCGGUCGGGCUUCUGUCUUCUGCCGAUGACAUGGGGAAGGGCAGUUCUCAUCAUGUAUUUUGCCUCCUUGUUUUCAGUUCCAACUAGAACGAUUCUUAUUGAUUACAGUUUUACAGUCUACCUUUUAACCUCAUGGAAUUUUUACAUGGUUCACCGGAAAAGAAAUCUCCAGAUCCCCUAAGAUGAAUCACCUAGUAUUCUGUCCCAACUCAUGAGUUUGAGAAUCAACGCUGCAUCAUCAACAUGAACCGUCCUAGGUGGAAACCACCAUUACUUGGACAGAAAGAACCGGCAUGGUUUGAGAAUCAAAACUGCAUCAUCAACAUGAAUCAUGCAAUUAGAAUCUAGUUAAAGUAACAGUCCUAAUGCCAGCUUUUUGACAAACUAAAAGUCUAUGACUACACACAAGCAAAACAAGUCUAGAUACAGACAUAGAGUGCUUAAGUAGUAGUUUGCAACAAAUUCCUUGCUUUUCAGCCGGGAAACAGGUUAAAGGACAUGAAGAAUUUACUCAUAGUAAAAUGAAUGCACAAAAAUAAAAAGGCACAAGUUUCUGCACAUCUGCAGCACAAAAUUGCAGCAAGUUUCUACUCUUGGAUUCUUUUAAAGAGAAGGCAAUGGUUAACAUUCUGGAUGGGGCAAGUUGUCCGUUUUGGGAAGAUCUCUGGAUGCUUAAGAGUCCCUAAACAACAUUUCCCUGAGCUCUAUUCUUUUGCUAAGGAUUCAAUUCACUCAAGUCUGCCAGGGAGGCAGCAGGCCCGGCCUCUUUGCUUCAUCUGCCUAUUUCAUCAACUGCAUUGCAGCAAUUGACAGCACUAUCCCAAGACUUUUCUAGCAUUAAUGACACUCAUGAACCGGAUUUCUGGUCAUAUAUUUGGGGGGUCACCUAUCUACUCCUCCUCCAAAGCAUAUAUCCACAUCACUGGCCAUAGAGUGGUACAUGCAGCUUUCAAAUGGCUAUGGAAGUCGGCGUGUCAAAAUAAGCACAGAGUUUUCUUCUGGCUUCUUCUCAAGGACAUGCUCAGCACCAGAGAAUUAUUGAGGCGAAAAAACAUCUUCUCCCUUAUCAUACCUGUGUAUGCUGUGUAGACAGUGAAAAAGAAUCAUUGGCUCAUCUUUUUAUUCAUUGCUCUUUUGCCCAAGCUUGCUGGGCCUCCAUUGGUCUUUUGGUGGGUGCAGAUGGCCCAUUUGAUACGCUUCUAGAUCCCAAGGACCAGUUGGGCGUUCCGUUCUUCAUGGAAGUGAUCAUCACCCUGAGUUGGUGCAUUCGGAUGCAGCGAAAUAAUCUCAUUUUAAAGGAUUGCAGCCACACCCUAAUAAUUAUCUUAGUCACUUCAAGAGAGAAUUUGCCCUAGUUAUUCUAAGGGCAAAAGCAAGUUUAAAACCCCAGAUGUCUGAAUGGCUAGAAGCCCUCUAUAAUUUUUCUUUCUUUCUUUCUUUCUUUCUUUCUUUAUGUCUUGAGUCACUGGACGGAUUGUUGUCUUUUUUUAUUUUUUUUAUUUCUUCCAUUUUAAUAUAUAACUAGUAAGGGGAGCACCCCUCCUGUUUCAUAAAAAAAUAAUUUAGGCACCAUGAGGGGCAGGUAGUUCAGUUCCUGACAAAUUCUUGGUAUCCUGCAGCGUGCAGCUCCAGGACCCAGCAAAUCCAAAAGAAAAUUCACACUGCUCAGCUCCAUUUAAUGAAGAAAAUCGCCAUGGAAUAAAACUCUAGCAUUGCAGACUAACCGGUAUCCACAUCAAGGCUCGCUGCACUGAAUCAGGGUAAGGCGAAGAACAGAAUCGCGGGAAGAGAACAGAUUACCUUGACGGCGAUGGUGGGGGGUGGGAGUAGGGCUGCUGGCUGCUGCUGCUGGCCUAGGGUUCUCGGCGACAGCGCCACCAGCUUCUCUGGCCGGUGGCCACCCAUAGAACUCGCCUCCGGCGACAGGACCGGCCAUAACAAGCAGAGGCAGCCAGCGAUGCACCAUCUCACCCCCUGUUGGCCGUUGCCUAUUAUCCCCGAGCAUUCACCGUGCGCCCGCGGCGAGAGCACCAGCCUCAUCGGUGUCUUUAGGCGAAGCGGAGCAGAUGCAAUAAUUUCCCUGCACGGAUCGAGCAGACGCGGCGCGUGCGUGCGUACAAGCGGCGACCCUCUCGGAGCCAAUCCCGGCCGCGAGAAACGGAUCGGGCGGCUUCGCGUAGCCCGGGGUGGACGGUAAAUGAAAUACCGGCACGCCGGCGCCGAAGCGAACGCUGACCGCGAAUUGCAAUUGCCACUCGAUGUGCGAGCUAUGGUGGAUGUCACUUGCACGGUCUCUUGCACAGGGCUGCAAGUGUUGCAACGGUUGGUGGUUGACUGCGACUGGAUUGGACGCAAGAUGAUCGACUGACAGACAUUUUCCGGACUGAAACUUUUUCCAGCAAUGGGCAACACAGUGACGGCAAGCAGAGUUUCAGGUAACACGCUUGUUGUCCUGAUCUCAAAGGUUGUGCAUCGGUGCUAGUCUGAAACAACAUGACGCAGAAGGUCAGAACAAGAGGAAAGAACGACAAACAAAUGAACAUGUACCAUGUAAGCUAGAUCGCUAGCGCAGGGGAAACAGAGUGAGCUGGUUGCUAUUGCCGUCUUCUCACCGUCAAGACGUCAACACCUCCUGGCUGCCACCACGGAAGCAUCUGCACAGCAGUACGGGCAGUAAGCACCGCACCAUGUCCUGAAGGCACGGAUCGGCCGGCGAAUUAAGCUGCCUGGUCGCCAUGAUCCAUGGCCAACACACCCGCACGCUCGGGGGAGAGAGCGCAAGCAGGUGACAAGGUUUCUUGAAUAAUCGAAGAAACGCCACUUCCGGUUCGCAGGCCGGAGAGCUCGCCGGACGGCGGCGGCGAGGACGGCGAAGAGCGCAGCGGGAUGACGAGAGGGCGUUCAGUUCUUGCGGAUCCACUACUAGCGCAGACACCUCCAUCCUCGGCUGUUUCCUCUUCAAGCUAGAUACCUGGCCGCGGCCGCGCGGGGAUAGCGGAGCUCCCAUCUCGGCGGCGGUAGCGCGAGCUCGUGCCAAGGCGCCGGUAGAAAUAUUUGCAAAAGCACCCUCAAUAUUUUACAAAUAAGCCCCUAAUUUGGAUAGAGAUUAACAAUCGCGAUCCAAAUAUAUGCAAAUAGCCCCCUUUUGUGAAUAUUUAUUUUCAAAAAGCACCCCUGGCUCGGCCUUCGGUGUCUCCUCCCUAUCCUCUGGCCUUUCACCGCAGGCCGCCGCCGCCGCCUUCUGUCCCUGCCAAAAGCACAAAUCCCUACCCCGCUCGUUUCUGCUCUGCUCUGCCACGAAACCGACAGCAAAUGGGCCUCGGAGUGGACGGUAACCGACCACCCUUGGUCGCCGUGACGCCGCCCGCUGGCGAGGGAACACAAGAUGAGGAGCCGACAACCGAGAGCCCUGGAACUCUGUAGGCAGGCCGCGAGAGCAGCAUUGCUCGCGGUAGACCAAGCGCGCUGCGGAUGGACGAGUAGCUCUAGUGCUGGCCUGCUUGGCGGCGGGGGCGGCGCUGCGACCGCCGCGUCGGCGACUCGGCGUAGGCCCGACGCGCCAUGGUGUAUGGAGAAGUUGGAGACGGUGUUGUUGGAACGCGGCCGAGCUUACUGGGGCUCUUGGCCAUGCUUCAGGUCAGGGUCGGUGACCAUGCCACACAUGUACGCCGGCGGCGCAGGGAACGUUUACGGCGGAUGGCAAUUGCCAGUCCAUGUGCGAGUCCGCGGGAUCUGGUAGAUGGUACUUGCACGCUCUCUUUCUCCAGUUUGCAACGAUUACGAUUGAAUGCGACUGAGUGGACACGAAAUGGUCAACUGAUAUUGUCCGAACUGAAACUUUUUUUCAGGAAUCGGCAACAAAUUGACAGCAAGCAGAGUUUCAGGCAAUUGUCGCCCUGAUCUUAAAGGUUGUGCAUUUUGUAUAAGUAGGAAAAGGCUGAUUGCUCGAUCUCAUAGUGGUAUAUUAUGAAGGCCCUGUCAGAGAAACUUGGUACAAGGAAGAACAGAAUUGCAGAUAGUCUGAUACAACAUGAUGCAGGAGUUCAGAGCAAGAGGAAACAAGACAAACAAAUGAACAUACUGCAACUCAUACUUGCAUCUGUAUCGACUGAUGGCCAUUGGAAUGGAUGGAAAGAAACGUGCCAAUGACUUGGUCCAAACUGAAACAAUUUUCAGGAACGGCAAGACAAUCAGGCAUAGUAACAACAAGCAGAGCUGCAGAGUCUCUAGGAACACACUUCUUGUUCUGCUACUCUGGUCUCAUGACAUUGCACUAGCCAUGGUAACAAUCCAAUUAGACGCUGUAGUACGGGUGUGAAGAUAAAAGGCCUGAACGUUUCUUUCAGCAAAUGCACAAGAGAACUCUCAGAUUAUUCACAUACUGCAGAUCGUGAUGCAAAUUUCAACACCUCGCUUAAAGAAAUCCAAGACAACAAAAUAAUAGUUCUAUUAGAAUUGCAAUUUCUGACUGUAGAACACGACCAUUUCAAAUUUUAUGGUCCAAUCAGGUGAAGUGGAGAGCAGCAGUCGGUGGCCUCUGUUUUAGUCACAGAUCCAAUGCUGAUUGCUUCCAUCAUGAUGCCUUCCCUGCUGUGCUGAGGUUUUUAGUCGACGACACCAUCAGGCCUCCUCCCCGUCAACACCUCCGUGGCUGGCUGGCUGCCACCUCCUGGAGUCAGAAAGCAGCACACCAUGCCAUGAAGGCGCGGAUCGGCCAGGGACUUAAGCUGCCUGGUCACCAACUCACGAUGAUCUGGUUCCCCAUGGGCGGUACACCCGGGUGCUCGAGGGCGAGAGCACAAGAAACGAAGAAACGGAGAGGUCGUGGGAGGACGGCGGCGAGUCCGGCAAAUAUGGCAUCGGGGUAACGAGAGGGCGCUGAUGGCGGACGCGUUCAGUUCGUGCGGGGCACUAGCGCAGCCAGCGCCAUCCGCCGGCACCACCUCGCCGAGCUGCAUGCUUGGGCGCGGCCGGUGGGGCUCGCGGAGGUUGCUGGCGGCGGCGCAAACUCCUGACAUGUUGCCGGCCGGAAUAUUUACAGAAGCACCCUCAGUAUUUGACAAAUAACCCCCCAUUCGGAUCGCGAUUAAUAAUGGCGAUCCGAUUAUAUACAAAUGUACCCCUAAUAUUUACAUAUACCCCUCUUAUUGGGAUCGUAAUCGCGAUCCGAAUAUAUGGAAAUAGACCCCUGGUUUGAAUGAUUAUUUUGCAGAUUACCCCUGGUUCAGCGCUCAGUCUCUCUCCCAUCCCAUCCUCCGAGCCCUUCGCCGCCGGCCGCCGCCGCCUUCCAUCCCUGCUAGAAGCACAAAUCCGUAUCCCACUCAUCGCUCCGAUCCGGCCGUCCGCUCCUCUUCUCUACCAGCCACGCCCCCUCGAAUCGACUGAGACCUGGAGUCCCAACUCCCAUCCAACCAAGCAGGCAAGCAGCGGUGACCAAGCCGGAGGGCAUUAAGCAAAUUAAUGGAAGGGCAUUAAGCAGGGCUUCAGCACACAUACUCGAGUCGCCUUGUACUUGCAGUGGCAGUAGUAAUCUGACUGCUCAAUUGGACAUGGGAUGUUCAGGCGUGAAGAGAAAGUCUGAACAUUUCCUUCAGGAAAUGCCCAACUCCCAGAUUCUUCAUGUGUUCAGUUCCAAACUUUGUAAGAAACUCCCGAGGAUUCAAGUUUGGCCAUAAUAACAGAAGGCUUACCAAUUAGAUGAUGUUGUGGUGUGAAGAUAAAAUGCCAGAGCAUUUCUUUCAGCAAAUGCGGAAGAGAAGUAUAAAGAUUAUUCACGCGUUCAGGCAUGUAUUUCAUGAACCAAAUAUCGGUCAUACAGAUAGCAGCGUUAGUUAUCUAUACUGCAGACCCUGAUACAAAUAUCAAUAAUUCGCUUAAAUAAUUCAUUACAUUGCUUCUGGACAUUUUCAGAGAUUCAAGGCUUGGAUGGCCUUUCAAUUUCAGGGACUGCAGGUCUGCAGCAUGGGUGAACAAAGAUGCACGGAGCUGGUCAGCUGGACUUCACCACCUGGAUCAUUCACCGAUAAUUGUGUGAGACGCCAAAUUUAAUUCCUGGAUAC